AAUAUGAAACCUUAAAUCUAGCCUCAUAAAAAUAUUUCUGACUUAUCCUCCAAUUUUCAUAAUUUUCUGAGACUGUGCAUUUUCUGCUAAUUUAUCUGCCCCGUCUCUCACAGAAAAUUCUAAAUCUUCUGUUUUCAUUCCGAUUUCAGCACAAGUCAUUUCUAACUCAUAUUUCACUUCUCCAAAUCCAAUAAAAAUAGUAUCUCAUACUAUUUUUAUUUAUUUUUAUUUUUAUAUUUAAAUCCGGUAUAUUACAGUUGCAUUAAGAAAAUGGUUGUAACUUGGAGAUUAAAAAAGCAGUAUUUUAUAGUAUGUAGCUUGCUUUAUGUGUCUACUAUGUUAUGGAGAUCGAUGAUUGUACAAGUAGUAACUCACUGCUUCAUGCCGGCAGGGGAGGCUCUAACUAUGCGGCGGUUCUAACACGGCCGAGGCAAAGGGGAAUUCCACUGCCUAAGCUGGGGUGUGACGUAAUAUAUGAUAUCAUAGAAAUAUGAAAUUUAGACAUAUACCUAGAAAAUUUAACAACACAACUUAAAAAUUCAAGGUCUUCCAAAAAGAUUACAAAUAAUAGGCUAUUCAAAUUAGUGGAAGUUACUUCUCAAAUACUACUCAAGUUGUAGUUACACCCAACAUUCAAAUAGUAUAAUGAGUCCUAGUGUUUUUUAGUUUUCAAAAUAUAUAUCCCCAAAAUACCUUUAUUUAGGACAUUACUACUAACAACUCGAGGACUCACCUGCUCACUCCUUAUUUACCGAAAAUUAGUAAAUAAUGAGUGAGAAAACAUACUGCCUAAAAGUGGCAAGCUCCCCAACUAGGACUAAGAAUGAUAACGAAAAUAAUGUACAAUUAGUAUCAAUUUAUAAUCUCUACACAGUAUAUUCCAAGAGUUUGGGCUUUAUAUUGAGAUCCAAGAAUAAUCCAUGUAACUUACAAUUCAUAUCACUAGGGUAGCAACUAUCCAAAAUAUACACCUAUCAAAAUGUAUUAAUACAUGAAUGCAGUUGUUUCAAUUAUCAAGCUAUUGUGCGGGCAGCCACCAUCCCAAACAUAAUAAUAUGACAUAAUUAGAUGCAUAUGAAUGUUCCUAUCAUCAUUAUAAUGCAGACAGGCGGUUACUAUCCAAGUAUUAUUUUUAUGCAAUAUAAAUCGAAUCACACUUUGACACUUAGGUCACGAGUCUAUACUUGCUUCGUAUAGCCUAACCGGGUGGCCACCGGUGACUUCUCCAAAGAAGGCACUUUUUACUAAGUUGUGAUCCUUGUUAGAGGCAGUAGCGUGCAGUAUCUAUAAGCGCAAGCGACCAUCAUGUAAAAUAUUAUUGCUUCAAGAUUAUUAUAUAGUCUAUUUGACAUUGCACGGUCCACCAAUUACUAGGUGCCAAACAAGAAUAUGCGAUCAUAAUUAGAAUUAGGUUAGAAUACUAUUAAUAGCACCAAGUCAUUUGUGCUAUUAAGUUUUUGGCCCUUGGAUAAAGAGAUGUGUGGUUAGGAUGAUAGUUGUCACGACCCGCGACCACCCGCCUAUUUGGCCGAGUUCGCGGCGCCGCCGACAGACCGCCAAACGGACAGAAUCUCCCCUGUACAUCCUAGGCGUCGCAAUCAAUACAAGUACAAGAAGUUCCAACCAGGAACGGUAUUCAAGCAAGAUUGCAUAAGGAAGGUAUCAAACAACAUAACACAUCCUAUGUUAUUACAAGCAUUCCCAUUAGAUUCAUUUUUACAUCACAUUAGCAUUAUUACAUUACAUUUUCUUCCAAAUACAAUUAAUAAUCGCAAUAUUAUUACAAGUUUGCUCUUUUUCUUUUCCCUCUACCCCUAGGCUAUGCCGAUUCGGGGUACCUCUAUCUCUGGUCUCUGGGGUAGGGCGCUCUAUGGAGCUACGCCCUCGCCUUGCCCCGCCGCGCCGCUCACGUGCGAACCUGUAACACCCCAAAACAACGUGGGGUGAGAACCAACUCCAUGGUUCCCAGUGGGUACGGCCACCCAAGGGAAAAGCUCGACCAAUAGGUCUAAGGAGGCCCUGCAACAUGUUAGUCCAACAGAUAUCCAACAGAUAUAUAUAUUCAAGUAUUGAAAUACAUGUUGUGCCUCACAAUAUGCAAUAUGAAAUUCAUGCAGUUUAUGCAACCAUGCAACCAACUAGUAGUUCAAUCGAUACUACUUUUAUUCCUGUUAUUCACAGUUCAACCAAUUGACUUCUAAGUUUUCCUCUAUCUUAGAUUCUUGUCAAUUACAAUUCUGCUCAUAAGGUUUAACCUGCUUUCAUAAGCUAUCCACUCGACCCGGUCUUGAGUCAAUCAUACGCGGAAUACCGCACAAAGCCAGGCUCAAGGUGAAGGAUGUCUCACAUGCACCUCAGCCCUAAAUCCACUCAACUGGGAUGCAACUAAAACUCAUACCAUGCAUCAAAUAGUAAAGGUUUACUAUCAUGCUAACGAAUUCGAUCCAUGUUCGAAUAAUAAUGUUCAAUGACAUUGUUCACUGUUCUUUUACCCAAUCUGUAGCGAAGCCCUAGGGUUCGCCAAUAACUCACCUUUCAAUCCCAAAGUGGGGAGGGAGCUCCAAGUGCACCCAAGCCCGGGACCGUCUGCGGACCUCCAUGUGGUCCGGACCUCCAAGUGGUCCUAGUCGCACGACACUCCGGAGUACUCGACGACAAUCCCCUCCAUGUGGGGAUUGGAUGGCUAUACCAUCCCAAACGCAGACUGUGAGCUAGAUCUAUCCUCUCCAAGUGAGGAUACUCUACAACUAGGGUCCACAACCCAAUCAAAUCCUCUCCAAGUGAGGAUGCCCUACAACUAGGGUCAAUAUCUCAAUAACUCAUCGACAACCUCUCCAUGUGAGGGUACUUAGGUUUACUAAGUUCUUUAUCCACAAGGUAUUUUCUAAGAGAUUCACCUAUCCCUAGGUUCACAAACCUCUAGUAUCAAAUACACUACAUUAAUGCCACUCGAUAUAUUCUUAUUUUCCAAAGUCAAUUUCUCUAAUCGACCAAGUUCAACAUGCAUAAUUCAUCUACUAUAUUCCGCAAUAUGGAAAUAUGCAUAAUUCUUCUAUCAUAUGUAAUAUAUGUCAUCAUGUAUAUGUUUCUAUUUAACAUAAUCCACAAUAUGUUAAUUCACAACAUGUCAUCAUGCACAUAUAUUACUAGCAUCACAUGAUAUGUCAACAUAUAUAUAAUCAUCAUUCAAAGUAGUCUAUACUUAGCAUCUCAUACAUUCUUUUAGCAUUUAAUUCAUUAUACAUUUCAUCUCAUUGGUAGGUAAUAUCAACUACAUAAUGUGUUUCAAGUAUUCAUAUUAUCAUGUAAGCCUACCAAUACAACUAUAUGCAUCAAUGUGAAUUCAUAUAUUUCUUAAACAUAAAGGGCGACCUAAUCGCUUCGGUAAGCACAACCCACCUCAUUUCGCAUUCCGAUUGCUUGUCGACACUUGCAAUCGGCCUCCCGCGGCAUCCGGUGCUCAGUUCCGCCGGAACUUGCAAUUGCGCACCAACCGCGCAUCGCUUCGCAGCCUUGGGCAAAAAGGGUCUUCGUUUUGUUGUUACGGUGCCUCAAAUCCGAUUCCAUGAUUUUACGACGUCGCCUCGGCCCUCCAGGCGGAAAUGAAGACUAACGUCCGUUUCUUUAAUAACUUCACAACGGCUCGACGAAUCGUCGAACCGACUUCGCCAACGCGUUCGUUUACCUAGCAAUUAGGUUUACGGAGGGUCAAAUUAGAUCAAACCCUUAUAUUUUACAAAACUCCAUUCGGAGCCCUAAUAUGCAAUUAACCUCCAAAUAAUCCAAAUUAAAUAGAUCAACAUGCUAACAAAGCUCAUUAGAGGCUAUUAGAACACUUAAAGCUAAGGAUUAAUCCAAAUCCCAAAAGGUUACCAUAAUAUGAAUACCGCAACGAAAACAUGCCGCUCCAACGGGCGCACGAAAGCUCGAUCCGUCGCCUCCAACGCGUUCGCAAGCAUCUUCUCCACCAACGCCGCGAAUUUGAGCGAGAGAUUUGGAGAGAUAAGAGAGAUCUUUAGAGAGAGAAAGGAGAGUUUCUCUCUCCCUUCCCAUGCGUGCAUGUGUCGCCAUGGUGGGCUGAGGGGAAGAAGAAGCAAUGGCUUCUUUAUACAUUAACACCCCAAAACACUAUUUAUUUCCGGCUAGUUUAGCAGUUCGAAACAGUUGGAGCACUUCUGAAUAUCCGUUUGGGUUCAAAUUUGACAGGCAGGCUCGGUUUAAUGUACUGAGUAAGAAUAUAUCUUAAGUUUUCAAUUUCGACCUUAUUUGGUCACUAAAAACUGUACCGAACUGUAAUCUUUAUUAGAUAACUGUCAGAUUUUAUUUUCCACCUUCCGGGUGUCAAAAUGACAUGAAACUUUAAAUCUAGCCUCAUAAAAAUAAUUCUGACUUAUCCUCCAGUUUUCAUAAUUUUCUGACACUGUGCAUUUUCUGCUAAUUUAUCUGUCUCGUUUCUAACAGAAAAUUCUAGAUCUUCUGUUUUCAUUCCGAUUUCAGCACAAGUCACUUCUGACUUAUGUUUUACUCCUCUAAAUCCAAUAAAAAUAAUAUUUCAUACUAUUUUUAUUUAUUUUUAUUUUUAUAUUUAAAAUCCGGUAUAUUACAUUCUACCGCAACCUUACCGGAACCAUUCAAAUGGCUUUCCAACCAAAUGUACACCGUAACUUCAUAAUUUUAGAAGUCCGGUACCUUACAAUACUAGUCCCCUAGGGUUGAAUAGCUGGUUUGUUGAAUAUUAUUGUCACGCCCCGAGACCGCUACCAAUUUGGUCCGGUUCGGGCGCGUCGAACAGAUGCCGAACGGACAGCACCUCCCCUGUCCGCCCAAGGCGAAACAACCAGAUCAUGUACAGUUAAGCGCCCAGGGAAUGCUUAAUUAACAUACACGAUCGAACACGAUGCACACAGGUGCAAUACAUCUAAGAGCAAGAACCACAAGUAAUAUACAAGUGUAUAAAGAGAGAUAGCCUAACUAUUACAACCAUUCAACAUUUACGUCAUUUGAGUAUUUUACNCUCGGGAGACCGGUUCCUCCCCAAGAGACCGGUUCCCGAGAACUGGAAUCUCAGGACUUAGCCAAUUUUUGGCUUUUCUCGCUGGGUUCGCGUUCGGGAACCGGUCCCUCCCUGCCAGGGACCGGUUGCCUCAAGCAACCCCGCGACACCAGCUGAUGAGACCGGUCCCUCCCUGCCAGGGACCGGUCCCCGAGAGCAAUUUUGCUCCAGUGCAAGUUUUGCACUAUUUGCUCUCGUGGACUCAUUUCCAAUGCACCUUUUGGUGAUUUUAACAUCUUUGGCUUUUCCAAAGCUUACCAACACGACCCUUGGUCGGUUUUACAUGAAGUCUAACUCUCGUAUUUCGAGAAUUCACUUCCUCACAACUAUGAUCUAAUGUGUAGAAAUGAUCCGGGUGAUAGAUCUAACGGCAUAAAACUUAGUAGCACCAAGUGCUAGAUGUUAUCGAUAGCAUUGUAGCCAAACUCUUAUAAUUAUUUGUAAAAAGUAUGCUACUAAUCAAGAUAAAAAUCAUGUACUAACAAUGCAUAAAAGAAGUUGCACUUACUAUCAUUAUGAUGCAAUCAACUACAUGUAUGUAAUGGUGUCAAUUUCCAAAAUGAUCAAGGUUACAUCAUAAUUAGUAUUAGUACUGUGUGAACUAUAACACAUCUCAAACAACUUCUACAGACGCCCUACACCUUUUAGAUCCUACACCUUUAGAACCUACUCGAAUUUAAAAUUUUCUGUCCGGAAUUAACUUUUCAAAAAACAUACUCAUCAUGAUAGAUUUCUAUCUGAUAGAAAUAUUUUUAUUUAGUACAUGUCUUAAAAUAUACAGAAAUAUAUUAUGCCUGCUUUAGUUCAACAUAAAAAUUACCGAACUAUAUCAACAAAUUACCAUAAUACCUUUUUUUUAUAGAGACUGAUAUUAUAUAUAAUUUUACACUAAAUUAAUCAUAUAAAAUUAUUAACAAUUUGAAUAUAAAAUCUAUUUAAAUAUUCUUAAAUUGAACUUUUUUUUAUCUGUUUACUCAAUUUAAAUUUUUGGAAUUGAUAUAGAUGUUGCAAAAUAAUAUUUCAGUCCUUAAAAAAUUUUCUUUGAAAAAGAAAUUUACCAAUGGAGGAGGUGGGUUUUUAAAUCCAAUGUUUUGAGAGAAUGUAAAAUUCCACAAAACUUUUAAACUUUUGCGAUGUCAGAUUCCUGCUAUAAAAUAAACAUGGGAUUUCACAAUUUUGAUGUCUCAAUUUCAUGUAUCUUAAGGAUAUAAAAUCCUUAAGAAUAUGUCUAGCGUUAGCUGAAAUAUAUCCUCUACUAUUCACAAAAUCACAUUCAUGACAGUAUCAAGGACCAAGGCUGCACUUAAAGCUUAUUCUGGGGUUUCUUUCCCGGGGUGCGGGAUAGACGGAGGAAACAGUUGUGGGAUAGAUGGAGGAAACAGGCAAUGGAGAAUUAGAGGAGGAAAGCCAGGAGUCUUAAAUAAUCAGUGAUGUGGAAAGGAUAGUUGACACUAAAUAAUCUAAUAUUUGGAAGAACAAGACUUUGGUUGUUUAAUAAAUAGGAUUGCUGUAGACUCUCCGGCGUAGAAGAUUGCAUGGUCAAUUUAAUUGCUUUUAAAACAUGAUUCGCAGUCCUGUAGCGUCCGAAUAACAGGAGCAAGGAAGCCAGGUUGGUGUUCCCGUAUUAAAGCUAGGUUGGCGUUCCCGUAUUAAUAAAAUCUUGCUAACCCUUCGUAAGAAAAAGAUAAAUAUUUUGAUUGCCGAUUCCCAUUGCAAACAAGCAGCUUUGGUAAACGCUUUCUAAAUGGAAAGAAAAUAAGGCUUCUGCACGCUUGCCAUGAGAAGUAAAUUAAGGCUUGCUGCAGGUAGAAACGAAUGCUUUUCCCUCUUUGGUGACUAUUCUGGGGUAGACCACCAGACUUAAAUACGGGACGUCCAGCCCAAGGGCUGCAGUGUGGACUGUUCUGACUGGAUUUGUAAAACGUAGAAAAUCAAUUGAUUUUCACUAAUUAUUCUAAGAAUGGCUCAAAUUUUGGCCGCUGAAAUUUAACGAUUUCGACUCCUUGCCCAGUGUAUUUCUUUUUUCACUUUUUUUUUUUUCUGUUUUCCCCUCGAUUUUACUUACUUAUUUUCGAAUGUUUUUUUUUAUCCAUCAGUUCACUUCUGGAAGAAUAAAAAAUAUAUAUAAAAAUAAAGAAAUAAAAAAUAUAUAUAAAAAUAAAGAAAUAAAAAAAACAAAAUAUUUUCGAUUCCCUUUAGCCCCAUAUUAUUAAGUCUCGCAUAAAAUUGGAAUACAACGUCAACAUUUCCACACAACUGAAAUUAACUCUUAGGACUAAAUAUAAAAACCGGAAGAUCAGAUGAAAAUAAAAUUCGAAGUUUGGGGACUAUUGUUAUAACAAAAUUAAAUCCUGAGUCAUACUCCAGCACAAAAUUUGCAGCUGACACUUGCGGUAAUGCAGUCAACAGUAGAGUUAAGACAACAAUUAGUAAAAAAGCAAGAUAAAAAAAAGAUAGUUACACAAACUAGUAAAUAUUUCCCCGAAUUACAGAGAAAUUCAUGGCUUGCUGAAAAGCUGCUGCAUAUUCUGAAAGUUGAAAAUUAAUGCAUUUUAGAUAUUGUAAACUGCGUGACAGCUACGCAUCUCUUACUAUGUUCAGAAUGUCAUGAACAUCUUCAAGCCUCGCGGAAAAACCUGCAAAAUUAUAACGAGGUGAUGACCUUGUGAUACACCGUACAAAAACCAAUAUUGUCAAGGCCCGACCAGAUCAGCCGAUUGAAAUGCACUCUAACCCUGCACCUUCAUUAUCAGCUCAGUUUAUAUCGAGCCCGCGAAUUCUCCAGUUCAUAUAGAACCCAACAAUUUCCUGAAAACCCACUGAACCAAACAGUUCAAUCAUUAAAGCCAGUCGACAAACUGUUUGGUUAUAUUGAACCGACCAGGCUUUUAGGAACAAAUAUUUUUGUUCUUGAAUAUAAUAAUAAAGUAAAUUUCUGAACGAAAUUUCUUUAAGAGCAGCGAAUCUCCACGCUCAAUAUUGUGAUUUUCUAUGUACUUCUUUAACCAGUACAAUUUUUUUCUUUCUUAUUUCUAAGAAUUUACUGUACUAAAUAAAACACUUGUUUCUAUAUAGAAAAAUAUAUUUUGGAUACUACAGAAACAGUUAAGAGUACUGCGAUUACCAUCGUCGUGCACUGCAUGUGGAUCUUCAGUUGGACCAUACAACAUUCUGACCCUAUGAUGUUCCAAGCUUUCCCUCUUCUUGUUCAGUUCUGAUAUUUUACAAUGCAGCACUGGAAGAGCUCUCGCUAUAUCUGAGCAAAAACACAAUGCCAUAGGAAAAAAAAAAAAAAAUAGAUCAGCUUUUAUUUCCAUAAUUAAACAAGAUAACACGUAUGAAAAAUGACCAGACUAUAUUAAUAUAAAUAAGAGAAUUUACUUGCUCAAUAUUAUAUGUUAUUUGAUGCUCACAGAAGUUGCUCUAUAACCAGAUCCCAAACAGUCAAGUAACAUUAUACAGUUUCUAUGAAGUCACGUGGAACUUUUAGCCACUUGUUCACUUCUAUAGUCUCCCCAUAUAUCUAAAAGUUAAGCCUCAGUGAUACUGAGAGUGACAUUAUUGGAAUUCAAUGCCCGACGACCUAACAUAAAUAAUGCUGGGAAAGAAUUGACAUAAAAAGUACAUACUUUUGUGAAAAUGGCAGGUAAACCAGCAGACUUUUGAUUUUAAAGAACUAACUGCAAAUUUAUAAAGAGAUAAAAGGUAGAAUAUAAAAAUCAGAAAAGCUAAAAUAAAGCCAUUUCCACGCAUGUUUGACAUCCACAUGCAUAAAUGGAUGCAUGUAAAAUUUGAGUAGCCUUUUACUGUUUUAUUUUGAUGAAACAUGCACUUAAUGCACUAGAGAAAUAUAUGGAGCAAAAAAACAUGUAAGCUUCCUUCAUUUUGAAAUGAUUGACUCAGUCAAGCACGAUCUUACAAAUUACAAGCUUCUGUAAACAAACUAAAGGGAAUAUAUUGGCAUGUAUUUCAUGUCCACUACAAAAUAGCCACCCAUAAAGUAAAAACGAGAUGUGUGGCAAUUGUAUGAUGAAAACCCUCCAAAAAGAGAGAGUACCUUAAUGUCGAGGAUUCCUUGCAAGUUACUAUUUCAGGCAAUGCAUCAAUAUAGCAUGGCACUAAUGCUAGAGGGAAAAUUCAGAGUUCUAGCGCCUCCUGAGCACAUAAUCAGCUUUGAUAAGGUCUAUAAAGCAACAAUUUGCUUAAGUAUAUGUGUUAUUUAUAAAAUUUUCUCGCCAAUAACACAGUUUUCUCGACAUAGAACUGUGCUACAGCAAAUCCAAAAAUUAUUUCAGGAAAAUUUGAGGUACAAAUAAAACUAGGAUCAAGAUAAAAGAUAAAAGGAAAAAACUUUAAAUAGAAAUGUCAAUCCUAAAUAGUCCCACAUUGGGAAAUGAUGGGAAACUAUAAUGGUAUUUAGGAAACUAUAAUGGUAUUUAGGUGCUUUUGUAUUAGUAUGAAACUACGAAUAAAAUUGGACAUAAGCAUUGGCCCAUCAGUCGAGUCAACCAUUUACUAUACUAGAAAGCUAGCAAUGGUUUGUGAUAUAAGAACUUCAGCUGAACUUGGUUUGGUUGAAUAAAACUAAAGGAUCUCUCAAAGGCAAUAUAAUGACCGUACACAUAAUCUUUCAAAUAGUUCACUGACAUGAAAAUAUGAAGAAUGGAGAUAAAGAUGCCAACAGGAAGGAUAUAGUUGGCGUUGCAUAGUCAUUAUUCUAAACCUCUAGCACAAGCCCAUUAACCAGAGGUAUGAAAUAAAUUGUCGAAUUCACUGGGUUACCUUGAAACAUCUCUUGCACAGUGCUCUCCUCAAAUAUUUGCUGCGCCUCAGCAACAGUUGCGUCAUAAUUGGUGCAGAAAUGGGACUGCUUUUCCAAUAAGAAGAUCUCGUUUUGUAGUUCUCCAGAUUCCUUUCCAAUCUGCAGAUACAAUGCAUGCAAUUACUUUGAGAUUUAAACAGCUCUUAGUAAUUAUUGUUGAUAUAUGUCUCUAUCCCAAACUAUUAUCUAUUUACAUACACCCCUGUAAAAUCUGAAUUACUACGUGCUUUGGAAACUUGAUUUUUUACAUAAGUAUCUUUCUAGCUACAAAACUGCCCACCCCUCUACCAGUGAAUUGAAUGGCCCCCAACCUAUUCUCAAGGUUAUUCAUACAAUACACUAUUUGACAAUCCUACAUGCCACGUAGUGUCCUCUCAUUCCAUAACUCUUCACUUUUCGAAACGUCACUUUCUCUCUCCCAAUUCGACUCUUCACCUCCUGAAAGGUCUCUCUCCCUAAGCAUCUCUCUCUCUCUACUCUCUCUACAUAGCCCUCUCUUUCUCCAUCUGGUGGCUUGGGCGGCGACAGCGAUGGCCACGGCGGCAGCGACGGCUUGGGCAGCGUCAGCAGCAAUCACAGUGACGACGGCGACUUGGGCGGCGUUAGCGGCGGACACAACGGCGGCAACUUCGGACAAAAAAAAAAUAUACAGCUCUAUCUCUCUUUCUUUUCUUUUUCUUCUUUUUUUGUACUCUUCUCCUCUUUUUUUUCUUCUCUCAUUUUCUUUUCUUUUAUUUUAUUUUACUUCUUGUCUGAUGACAGCGGUGGCAGCUUGGGCGGUGCUGGCGACAGCGGCGACUUAGGCGGCAUCGGCAGUGGACACUUCAGAGGCUUGGGCAGCGACGGCGGCUUGGGUGGCAUCAGCGGCGAUCACGACAACAACGACAACUUGGGCGGCGUUAGUGGUGGACACGACGGCGGCAACGUUAGACAAAAAGAAAAUCCAAAGCUCCUACCUCCUUUUCUUUUUUUUUUUCUUCUUUUUCUUCUCUGUACCCUUCUAUUUUUUUUUAACUUCUCUUACCUGGGUAUGUGGAUCCGUAUGUGAACUGGGGGGGACUGGGAGAGGCAAUAGGAGAGGAGGCAUUCUUAAUCGCGGUGGCACAGCUCAGCGACGUCAAUUUGACCUCAAGAAAGGUCGACAAAGCACGCAGCACGACUCAGCGACGUCGAUUUGGCCUCGAGGAAGGCCAACGAAGGGGGUGAGUUGAGAUUUUUUAUUUUUUUUCGCAAGCUUUCGGCGUCAAAUCAGAUUUUUUUCAUUGUUCUUUGAGACUUUGCAUGAUUUUUAAAAUUUUUGAUUUUAGGUAAAAAAUUAGCAAUAAUAUGUUAAAUUUAAAUGCCUAUCAAAAAUUAACAAAUUUUUUAUAUAAAUUAUCCACCUUUCUUCUCAAUUUUUCAAUAUAAAGUAUUUGAGAACUAUGCCACACUUUGGAAAAAGUAUUUACGAAAAUCAUUCUAAAGAAAAUAAAAUUUUCACUACAAGAAUUUCAUGGUUUGAUGAUUUUUCUGUUUGAGAGCUAUGUUUAAUGGCUUGAUGAUUUUUUCCUAAAGAAAACUAUAUUGUAUGGUUUUACGUCGAACCAAAUACCUCCUUAGGUAUUAUUUCUUUAAAAAUUGGUUAUUCUUUUUCACAUGUUUAUUUUUAUUUUUACUUAAUUAGUUCUCUGAAAACAUUACAUUUAUAUUUUAAUGAAUAAAUAAUAUUUAUAUUUAAAUACAAAAUUUUUUUUUUUUUAUGUCAACCCGCUGCGAAGAGCAGGCUCCUUCACUAGUAUAUAUGAAGUUUCAGAUUUUCCAAGGGUACACAUGUAUAAGCCCCUUUUAUUUUAGUUAAGUAGCAGGCUGCUUACUGUUGAAAGUUUCUCCCUCAUGGAAUCUAACCAAGCAUCAGGUUCUGCAUCAGAGAGCUCUUCUUCAAGCAGAACAUCUUUAGUGGAUAAAUUAUUCUGAAUAAGAAAAAAGAAAAAGGACAAUAUUUUAGCCAUUGUGCAUGACAAUAAAAUAUCAUAUUCAAUGUGAGGAAAUAUGAGAAAAAGGAAAUAACGUAGCCAAACUAUUGACCGCACUAAAGCAUUUUUUUGCACGUAGUUUUCCCUGGGAUGCAUUUGAACGUACUGGGAAUCAAAUAAGCUUAUUAGGAGGAGCCUUCUGAGAUAUAUUAUUCCAGAUAUUUAAAUAGAAUAUAUUCAAGCAAUUACAAAUAUAUAACAAAGUAGAAGAUCAAAUUAAGGGAACCCAAUUAAUUAGAACAAUUCUGCCUCUAGUCCAGCAUAAAAUGAUUCAACAUGCAAAGUCUGUUAUAAGAUGCAUUCCUAACGCAUAUUAGGCCUUUUGAGCAAUUUUUCCUAAAUGAACAAUGUGUAUAGACUAAUUAGCCAGAGACUGAAAGUAAAUCAACAUGUAUAGUCUGUCAUAAGAUGUAUUCCUAAUGCAUAUUAGGCUUUCUUAGCAAUUUUUCUUAAAUGAACCAUGUGCAUAGACUAAUUAAAUUUAUUUAAAUGGCGGCCCUAGAUCAAGUAGGUGAAAAAUUGAUAACAACAGAUAAAUGUAAGAAAAAUAGUGGUGAAAAUUUUAACUCGAACAUGUAAACAAACUAAGUCUUUGCAAGAAAAGACCUACAGCUUUAGGCAACGCAAACCCCUCAGGAACAGUAAAACAAUGCCUAAGGCAAUAUUUCUCCCAACUGUCCAUUCGCUUAUCCAAAAUAGUUUUUGCCAAGUGACGAAGGGCAUAAACACCCUACAAACAAAAAUUGAUGAGAAGUUAGUACAGAUCAGCAUCAACAUCAUUUUAUAAGAAACCAUAUUACUACUACAUAAUAGUAUUCUGCCAACAAGCAUCAUUAUUUGAAGCAGGAUUAAAAUUAAGCUGGUUAACAGAAGGUGAAAAAUAUCAGGUGGACUUGCUUAAUUAACUACUUAAGGGAAAGCAGUCCAUAGACUUCAGGCCUCCUUCGGCGUUGUUGCUAGUUUAUUUUUUUCGCCCCUUAACACUAAUUCUAUAUAAUUUGAUAUACCGGCAAUAGGACUUUCCUCUUGUUGUCAUGGUUUGUAAGCUUGCAAUACCACCCAGCCAGUGAUGACUGAUGAUGACUUCUUUAAAGACAGCCCAAGAAGCAGAAAAGAAAAAAAGUUGUUCCAAAGUUUUUGUUCCACCAUCCUCUCCUACACUGUUUCAUGAUUCUAUAUACUUUUUUCUUGUUGUCAUAAUUGAUUAGAUUGCAAUAUACCCCCGCCAAGUGAUGGACGACAACUUUAAACAAAAAAGAAAGGAGGGGGGGGGGCGGAGGAAUUCCUAGAAGCAAAAGGCAAGUUGCUUCCAAGGUUUUGAAUUACUUGCCAAACAAACAUCUUGGAUGCAAUUGUCCCUUCCUACCACUCAUAGACUAAACAAGCGCGACUUAGGCGUGCUCCUAGGCACUAGGCUCAAUGGCCAGCGCCUAGGCAGCACCUAGGUGGGUACCAUUGCCUAGGUGCGCACCUAGGGCAAGGGGCAAGGCGCAAGGCGCAACGAAGGCACGCCUAAUUCAUAUUCGAUCCUAACGGGUUUGGAUCUAGAAAUAUAUGCUCUAAUGGGUUUGGAUCCUAUAUUUAUUGGUCUAAUGGGUUUAAAACAUCUAAAAUAAACCCUCUGGAUCUAGAAAUAUAUGCUCUAAUGGGUUUGGAUCCUAUAUUUAUUGGUCUAAUGGGUUUAAAACAUCUAAAAUAAACCCAAAACCAACCUACUAUCCGCUCCAUUCCCUCUCUCCGUUUAGUUCGCUCCCUUUCCGGUCCCUCCCCCUCACUCCUCUCAGACCGGUCUCUCUCCCUUUCUCAACUCGUAACACUCAUCCCUCUCUCCCGCUCGUCCAUCACCUCCGAUUGCCUCCGGUUCUCUCUCUCUGCUUAUUCAACUCGACUCGCCUCUCCCUCUAUGGUGUUCAUCUUUCUCUCCUUUCCUCUCUCUCUAGUUUCUCUCUUGUGUAUAUGUCUUUGUUUUUUUUAAGCAGUGUUUUGUCUUUUUUUUUAGGCAGUGGUUUUCUUUGUUUUAUUUUUAAAAAAAAACAGUAUUUUACUUUGAUAAAAUGAACUUUUUAAAGUUUAAAAAAGUUUUUGAAAGUUGAAAAUAAAAAAUGAUCUUAUAUAUUCACCGAAUUGGAGUUUAAUUUAUUGAAUGGAUUCGAAAGCAACCGAUAGAGAUCCUGCAUGGAAGUAUGUACAUUUAGCAAAUUUGAAAGUAAAAAAUGAUCUUACAUAUAAUUUUUUGCGGAAAAGUGACAAGAGAAGGGAUAUACCGAGCAAAGCAGUAUAUUGUUGGAGGUUUCCAAAAUGCAAAAGCAUCCACGAAAUGUCCGCUGCAUGUGAGGGAGGAAAUAAAAGAUUUUAUGAUAAAGAAAGUGACAGAGAAGGAACAAAAUGAGUUCAUGCCGGAUUUUGAAUAUGCAUAUCACUUCAAUGACAAUGAAGAGGGAGAUGAUGUUGCGGAAUCGAACUCUGAAAGAAAAAAAGUUCAAAGCAAAAGUAGCGGAUGCAGUAUUGGUAGUAGAAGUGCACCCAAAAAACCAAGGCAAAAGGAACCAAUGGAUUUGUAUUUCACUCCCAAUGCAGAGAAGAUAUUUCAAGACAGAAAAGAUGGAAAAAUGAAACAAACUACGAUUAAUGAAGUUUGUAGGAAAGAGUUGAGAGAAAAUUGGUGUAGAGAACUAGCUAGAUGGUUUUAUAAUGCAAGAAUACCUUUCAAUGCUACUAGUUGUGAUAGCUUUCAUGCGGCACUCGAACCUGUUGGACAAUACGGCAUUGGUUUUAAACCACUUUCUAUUUACAAGUUACGAAUUCCUUUUGUUCAAAAGAAGGCUCAACAACCGAAGAAUUCAAUGAAUGGCCAUAUGGAGGAAUGGGCAAAGACUAGAUGUAGUAUAAUGUGCGAUGGAUAGAUGGACAAGAGACAAAGGGCCCUUAUAAACUUUCUUGCGAAUUCUCCAAUGGGAAUUGUGUUUAUCGAAUCUAUUGAUGCCUCCAAUUACUCUAAAACUGGAGAAGAUGUUUAAGUUAUUGGAUAAUAUGGUGGAGAAUAUUAGGGAGGCAAAUGUCGUUCAAAUUGUGACUGAUAGUGUAUCGAACAAUGUGUUGACUGGUAAAAAAUUUUGUAUAAAAAGUAAAUUAAUUUUGUUUCAGUAUAUACUUCAAUUUUACGUUAUUAUAUGAAAUAUAUGUGAAAUUUUAAUAGAAAAAUUAUUGGAAGCAAAACGACCAAAUUUAUAUUGGUCACCUUCUGCAGCCCAUUGUAUUGAUUUGAUGCUUGAGGACAUUAGAAAGAUACUCGAGGUGUAUAGAAUAGUGAAAAGGGCAACAACAUUGAGUGGUUAUGUUUAUGCCCGCACGGGCAUGGUCAACAUGAUGAGACGUUUCACAGCCCAAAGAGAGUUGCUUAGGCCUGUUGUAACAAGAUUUGCAACAGCCUUUCUUACCCUUCAACGGUUACAUAAGCAAAAGAGCAGCUUUAGAAAGAUGUUCACAUCGGAUGAUUGGACCAAAAGUAAAUGGGCAAAACUACAAGCGGGUAAAAAUGCAACUAUCAUUGUAUUGAUGCCCACAUUUUGGACUAGCAUUGUUUAUAUUCUUAAAAUUUUUGGUCCUCUUGUUCGUCGUAUACUUCAACUAGUUGACGGUGAAAAAAGGCCAGCAAUGGGUCAUAUUUACGAGGCUAUGGGCAGAGCAAAGGAAGCAAUUGAAAGUCUUUUAAGGGGAGGGAGGAGAAAUAUAGUGAAGUAUUCAAGAUUAUUGAUAAUAGAUGGCAAUGCCAGCUUCAUCGCCCUUUGCAUGUCGCUGGUCAUUUCUUAAACACUGAAUUUUUUUAUUCAAAUUCAAAAAUUUGUAGAGAUGAGGAGAUUAUGUUGGGUUUAUAUCAAGCUUUACAAAGAUUAGUUGCAAAAGCUGAAGAACAAGAUAAAGUAUGCGAUCAACUAAGUGUAUAUCGUGAAGCACAUGGCCUUUUCAGAACUAAUAUGGCAAUUCGACAAAGAAAAAUAAAGUCACCAGGUAUGUUAGUUCUAUACUACUUGCUAAUAGUAUAGUACUAUUAUAAAUCUAUGCAUUAUACAUUUUAAUAGUUAUUACUAAUUUGUAGUAAGAUUAGAUAAGAAACAAAUGCACCCAUUUACAUACAUUAUUAAUUUAUAGUUAAUAUAACAUUUAUAUGAACAGCUGAGUAGUGGAAAUUGUUUGGGUCAUCAACACCAGACUUGCAAAAAGUUGCGAUUAGGGCUCUUAGCCUCACUUGUAGUGCUUCCAAUUGUGAGCGAAAUUGGAGGGUAUUUGAACAUGCAAGUUAUCUAUAUUAAAUCAUCUUCUACUGUAGUUAACUAGUUAUAGUAUUUCAGUAUUUGAUAGUUUUGAGUUCGUAAUUUAAUACUUGAAAUUUCAUAUUAUCUUUAUUAUCAUAAAGUUGUUUGUUUUUUUGUAGCUUCAUAGUAAGAAAAGAAAUAGACUCACGCAAAAACGCUUGAAUGAUUUAGUGUAUGUAGGGUACAAUAGAGUAUUGAGGUGGCGAUAUAAAUUGCGUCACACCAUAGAUCCUAUCUCAAUGAAUGAAAUUGAUGAGAGUAAUGCUAUGUUGCACAGAUACGGAUACGGGGAUACGGAUACGAUACGAUACGAAUACGGUGAUACGGCAAUUUCUAAAACUUCUAAGAUACGAUACGCGGGAUAUACUUAAAUAAAAUAUUAUUUUAAAUAUAUUUAAAUGUAUGUUGAUUAUAUGUAAUGAUAUAUUGAGAACAAUUAGAAUAUCUAGACUAUAUUAAGGAAUAUAUUCUAAUAUGCAUUAACUUGUAUAAUUAUUCUACAUAUGUUCAUAAAAAAAGAUAAUCAAUCAUAUAAAAUAAUAAUUCAAAAAGUAUCAAACCAACUAUCAUUCAACUUGAUCAAAUGAUAACAAUAAAUAUAUAGUCGCACAAACUAGAUAAUUAGCCAUUCAAUAUAUAUGUCUGAUUUGUUAGUUCUAUUAUUAAAAUAGUAAUAAAAAAAUAUGCUAACAAUUUAAUAGAGAAGGAAAAAAAAAUCAUAUUUUCUAUAGCCUUUGUUGCUUAAUAAUAGGUUGACAAAUUAGAUGGAAGAGAGUAAAUACUGUGUGAAGAGAGAACGAAAGGGAGCGCCUUCUACCAUUCAAGAACAAAAAGAUAGAUGAAAUGAUGAAUUGAACAGAUAUUGGUGUUUUUCUCACUCUUUUCCUUCUUUCCAAUAGGUUUGGACGUGAGCUUUUAAAAAAAUUUUAAGUUUCAAUCAUUUUAGACCAAAAAAGAGCGGGGUCGUGUCCCCCCCCGUAUCCCCCAAUAUCCCUCACAUAUCCGAGCCAUAUCCGAUAUUUUUUUAUUUUUUAAAAAUGUCAGAUACUUCAUUCCCGUAUCGGGCGCGUAUCGGGCGCGUAUUGGGCGCGUAUCGGUAUCCGAUACGUAUCCGAUACGGAUACGGCAUGAAAUUUGAAGUAUCCGUGCUUCAUAGUAGUAAUGAAUGGUUGAUUAGAAGAAUGGAUGAAAACAACGAUGAUGAGAGGGAAGAUAAGGAUAAUGUUUGGAAAGAUGACACAUUGACAUGGAGUAUAGUGGCUAAAGCAGCAGGGGUGAAUCAGCCUACCCAUCAUACUAAAUCACGUAGUUCCACCAAGCGUAGUGGUAAAAGAAAGGCAAAAGCUUCAUCUUCUCAAUCUCGGAAUAUUAGUAACUUUAUAAAUGAUGAAGAGCCUAAUUUUGAUGAGACUCGAGACAUAGAGGAUGAAGAAGAAGAAGACAUUGGAGAUGACAAAUCUAACGAGGGAGAGGAGUAUUCUUUAUCAAGUGAUGAAAAUGAUGAUUGAUGAUUGAGAGGAGUGGGGAGAGAGAACUAAUCAACAUUUCUAAUAUGACGUAUUUUGGCUUGGAGCCUUAAACACUUAGCUUUCAUGUGAUCAUGAUGCCCUUUUAAUUAUUUUUGGCUUGAAACUUUAAAAUUUUAUACAUGUUACUUUUUAUAAUCAUGUGCUUAUAAUUAUAUGUUUUUGACAUCAAAGUUUUCUACAUGUUUGUGAAUUACUAGUUACCUUUAUGUUGGUCUUAUCUGGAGACAAAAAGGUACUUUGUUCUUUCCUGUUAUUUUGUUUUUAAAAUUACCACUUGGCUUCUUUUCUUUUCUUCGUUUGUUUUUGUCCAAAAACAUGAUUAUUGGAUAGUUACAGAAUAUUUAUUGUAAUAUGAUUUUAAAGUGUAUAUUUAGUACUACUUAAUAAUUAUUAGAAAGUAUAGUACAGAAUUUCUUGAUUAUUUCAAAAUUUUAUAAAAGUGUGCGCCUUACCUCUCUAGGGCGCGCGCCUUGUCUUUCUCCAGACCUUUUAUUAAUUGCCUUUAAAAACAUAGGACGUCCUCCGUGACGAUCAUAAAAAUCAUUAGUAGCCACUUUUGAGGAUCACCCCAACCAUCACAAACAAUAUUUAUACCUUUCGCACUCCAUGUUUCCUUAAUCAAUUCUAACAAAAUUUCUACACAGACUCCUACCUUUGAAGUAGUUUUUAGCAUAUUAACACCAAGAAGAACAUAGUCACUAACAUAUGAUUGGUCGCAUAUGUGUAUAAACUAAUAUAGUGAGGGCUUCUAGAGAUUAAAUAACAAGCCGCUGGUGUGACGAACUUAAAAAUUUAGAGUUGAUUGUUUCGGCAAAGAUAGUUGGUAAUAGUGGAAGGCUAGAUUGAAAGGGAUUAUAGGAUACAAAAAAAUGAGAGAGAAGGUAAGAUACAAGAAGUGCACCAGUCAUGCGAUUGCGAGGGAUCCACAAUUAACGAGGCGGUGACAAUACCACAGGCAGAACUUCAGCGGCGGGGAAGAAAAAGAGGCAAGGAUCCGAGAAAAGAGGGGUAGAAGCAGAAGCCGAUAUAAUCACAAGGAAGGAAGAGACAACAAUCAAAUUGAAGAAGAAGAUUACCUCCGCGCGAAGGAGCAUUGACGAUCACACCGGGAAGGGUUUUUGACCUAGUUUUGGAUAUGGACUGACUCACAAAAUGUUAGGCAGCUAAUAAUUGUGAGAGCGGAGUUAUGACCUUUCAUUAACCUCGACAAAAGAAGCUUGUGUACCGAGGAUGUAAAAGCUCGCUCUUUGCAAUUACGGUAUCCACAUCGCGUGCGAAAAAAUUGAUUAAUAGUGGUUGUGUUGCCUACUUAGCAACGGUGGUGAAGAUCGAAAGGAGGUUUCUGUGCUCGAGAAUGUUCCUAUAGUACGAGAGUUCCCAGAUGUCUUUCCGAUAGAGUUACCCGGGAUACCACCAGACCAAGAGAUCAAAUUCGUCAUAGGCCUGAUACCCGGGAUCGCCGAUUUCAAAGGCAGCCUAUCGAAUGACACCGACUGAGUGGAAAGAGUUGAAAAAUCAACUGCAGGAUCUAUUGGAUAAUGGCUUCAUUAAAUUGAGUGUAUCGCCUUGGGGAGCCACGGUGCUAUUCGUAAAAAAGGAAGAUGGUUCGCUACAGUUGCGUGUAGACUACCAUGACAAAGUCACCAUCAAAAAUAAAUACCCGUUGCCCAAUAUCAAUGACUUAUGUGAUCAACAUCAAUAAUCUCAGUGUAUUCUAAGAUCAUUUGCAAUCCGAACAUCACCAACUAAAGGUUAAGCCGGAGGAUGUGCAUAAGACUGCGUUUCGGACGCGGUAUGGGCACUAUGAAUUCAAGGUAAUAUCAUUUGGGCUUAUUAAUGCCCCGACAGCAUUCAUGAAUUUAACGAACCAUGUAUUCAAGUCCUUGUUGGACCGGUUUGUCGAAGAGUUCAUACACGACAUCUGGGCCUACUUCCGAAGUAAUGAGGAACAAGAAAAGCAUCUUCGAUUAGUAUUGCAAGUUCUUUGGAAGAAUAAGGUAUAUGCCAAGCUGAAGAAGUGCGACCUUUGGAUUCGUAAGGUCGCCUUUCUGGGUAACGUGAUUUCAAAAAGUGGAUUUUUUAGGAUUUUCUGAGAAUUUUUCUGAUAGAGCUAGAAAAAGCUUAAUUAGCGUAGCUAAGUAAAAAAUAGUGCGCUUAAUUAGCGUAUAUGAUGUUAUCUGGAAAGCCUAACAGAAUUAAGGUAAAAAUAAAGGUUGUUAAAUGAAAAGGUUGUUCCCUAAACCCUAAACCCUAAACCCUAAACCCUAAAACUCUGAUACCAAGAGGGGGGAAAGAGGGGCUAGAGAGUUUAGGCUUGGCUAGUUCCAAGUUUAAGCUUUAGGGUUUAGGGUUUAGGGUUUAGAAGAAGGUGCGGAAAUGAUUUUUAAACACAAACUACAAGUCUGUUGUUAUAAAAAACCCUUAAGAUAAAAACCCUAGGAUUUAUGGAGAAAACCCUAGUCUAUUUAUAAAAACCCUAAGAUAGUAGGAAAAACAAACCUUUGAAAGAAGCAAAAACCUAAAAAGGAUUUUUAAAAUAUUUUUUGGAUUUUUUAGGAUUUUUAGGGAAAUGCGGAAAUAGUAGAGUUGGGUCAGAUUAUGUAAUAUAUUAAAAAUUAAGUAUUAGAAUAUACCGGUUAAAAAGGAUAAGUNCCGAGUUUUAGGAAAAUUGCAUCAUCGAAAAUUUAAUGAGAUAAAGAGUUUUAGAAAUAUAAAAAACAUCUGAAAAAUUUUUAUCUUGAUUUCUAGAAGGGAGUACCAGACGGGACCUACUUUAAAAAAGAUUUGGAAACUUAGUUUAUUUUCUAAAAACGGAAAUUUUAAAUUUGCACUUCAUCCUAUUUUUAUUCAUCCUACAAAUAUCAUUCAAGACAUAUAUUAUUUUCUUUCCGUUCCUCUUUUACUGUGAACUAUUUAUCAAACAAUUUCAUCUAAACAUCCACCUAUCCAUCCCAAUUAAAUUAAUAUCAGUGGACCCAAAGAAAGUUGAAGCGAUAAAGGAUUGUCCCUGAUCAACAAAUGUAAUCGAGAUUUGUGGUUUUCUCGGUCUUGCCGGGUAUUAUCGACGAUUCAUGGAGAGGUUUUCUAUGAUCUUCGGUCCACUGAUGCGCCUUACUUCAUUUGGAGCGAGGAUUGGGAUCAAAGCUUCAAAGAGUUAAAGGUAAGUUGACCACAACUCCAAUUCUUGCCCUGCCAGUUGCAGAGAAGGACUUCGUGGUAUAUAGUGACGCGUCGCGAAACAGUCUUUGGUGCGUGCUGAUGCAACGUGGGCAAGUCAUAGCAUAUGCCUCCCGCCAAUUGAAAAAUUAUAAACAAAAUUAUCCCACUCAUGACUUAAAGCUAGCGGCAGUGGCCUUCGCACUCAAGCUAUUAAGAUACUAUUUGUACGGAGAAUGUUACAAGGUUUACACAGACCAUAAGAGCUUCAAUAUUUAUUCACUCAGAAAGAGUUAAACUUAAGACAACGUAGGUGGUGAGAACUGCUAAAAGAUUAUGACAUAACCAUCUUAUACCAUCCAAAAAAAGCCAAUGCAGUAGCCGAUGCGCUCAACAAAAAGUUCGUGGAAAACCUCAUGAUGAUAAUCAUGAUUCAGCCACGGUUGCUUACGGGAAUAAGGCGAUUCGACAUGGAAGUUGUAAUUCCGGGUGCCCCCACAACACAUGACUUUAAUAAUUCAACCGACCUUGUAGGAGAGAAUAUAAGGGAAAGUCUUUGGACUUGGAACUCUAAAAGGUGCGAGGCGAUAAAAAGUGUAGGUAAGCCAAUGUGUUUGGUAUGAGUUCGGAAGGGACUCUUCGAAUCCGCGAUCGGUUAUGUGCGUCCAAGGACGAGAAAAUUCAUGAAAAAAAAUACUUAGAGAAGCCAUCGAUCUCACUAUACUACUUACCCGGGCAGCACCAAAAUGUACAAAGACUUGAAAAUGCAUUAUUGGCCAAAUAUGAAAAAAGAUAUAGGGUGUUUUAUGGCACAAUGUUUAGUGUACCAACAAGCAUAAGCGAAACAUUGUCUCCCAAUGAGAAAGAUUCAAAAUUUGUUGAAUUCUCAUGUGGAAAUAGGAGAAUAUUUCAAUGGAUUUCAUUGUAGGAUUGCCUCGAUCACGAGAAGGCCAUGAUGCAAUAUGGGUGGUAGUAGACUGCUUGACGAAAUCGGCUCAUUUCUUGCCAAUCCACACCACGUGGUAGAGGGACACGUUGAGGGACACGUUGCCGUGAGUUUAUCUGGAUGACAUUGUGAAUCUGUAUGGGGUUCUAGCAUCCAUAGUAUUGGAUCGAGAUUCCCAGUUUGCAUCACACUUCCGAAUUCCCAGUUUGCAUCGCAAUUUUGGAAGAGCUACAUGAUGCUCUAGGCACUCGGCUCAAUUUUAGCACUCUUCAUCCCCAGACGGACAAUCAGUCAGAAAGGACGAUCCAAAUUUGAGAGGACAUGCUUUGAGCGUGUGUUCUUGAUUUUAGGGUGCAUUACACACUUUCUUGCCUAUGGCAAAAUUCGCUCGAAACAAUGUUCGGGAACUAGUGGAAUGCCCUAAGCAACAAAACAUAAUUGGUACCAAAUGGAUAUUUAAGAACAAGAAAAAUGAAGAUGGUAUCAUAAUACAGAACAAAGCAAGACUUGUUACUCAAGGAUAUUCACCAAUAGAAAGGAUUGAUUUGAAAAAACUUUCACCCCUGCUGCAAAACUUUCGCCCCUGUUGCCCGUCUUGAAUUAUCUAUAUUUUGUUCGCUAUUGCUUGUCAUUUUAAAAUUAAACAUUUUCAAAUGGACAAAAAAAGCGAUUUUCUAAACGAAUUUUUAAAAGAGUACGUUUAUGUUGAACAACCAAAAAGUUUUAUAGAUCCUAACCAUCCAGAUCAUGUAUACUGUUUGAAAAAGACUCUUUACAGUCUCAAACAAGCCCCGCGAGCAUGGUAUGAAAGAUUGAAAAUAUUUAUUGGAAAAGUGCUAUAUCCUAGAGGGAGCAAAUAGAACUCUAUUUGUGAAUAUCGGAACAAUUUUAUUAUGGCACAAAUAUAUGUUGACAAUAUAGUCUUCGGAGCCACAAGAGAUAAAGAUGCCACAAAGUUUGCCGAGAUAAUGAAAAGUGAAUUGAGAUGUCAAUCAUGGGCGAACUUAAUUAUUUUCUCGGGCUGCAAGUCAAACAAUCAAAAGAUGGAAUUCAUUUAUGUCAAUCCAAAUACACGAAGGAUCUGGUCAAGAAAUUUGGGUUGGAGAAUUCUAAAGACUUUCCUACUCCUAUAGGUACAAUUAACAAAGGACUUGGAGUUAGUAUCCUAUGUAAAACUGUUGAUAAAAAACUUUACAGGAGUAUGAUUGGAAGUCUUUUAUGCUUGAUGGCGAGAAAAGCUAAUAUCUCCUUCAGCGUUGGUGUUUGCAUCAAAAUAUCAAGUCAAUCCGAAAGAAAUCCAUCUUAAAGCGAUGAAACGAAUCAUUUGAUAUAUCAAAGGCACCGUAAAUUAUGGUAUUUGGUAACCUAUGGGGACAUCGCUUGAUCUUAUAGGAUACUAAGAUGCCGAUUGGGCUGGUUCGGUUGAUGACAAAAAGUGUACCAGCGGCGCUUGUUUCUAAAGGUCAUUGUCUUGUAGCAUGGCAUAAUAAGAAAUAAAAUUGCAGUCAUAUCAACUGCUGAAGCUAAAGUACAUCUCUGCUGGAAGAUGCUCUACACAAUUCUUGUGGAUGAAAAGCUUAUUGAGCGACUAUCGGAUCCCCUCCAAUACGGUGACACAAUUCUUUGUGACAAUACCAUUGCCAUAAAUAUUUUUAAAAAACCAUGUUUUGCAUUCUCGUACUAAACACAUAAAACUUCAAUAUCACAUUUUACGAGAACUAGUUGAAUCAAAUAUUAUUGAACUUGACUAUAUUGAUGAUCAAUUAGCUGAUAUUUUGACAAAGCCUCUAGAUCAAAAACAUCUUAUACAUCUUCGGAAGGCAAUUGAUAUGAACCCCUCCAUCUAUAGAGAGAGUUCUUUGGGCCUUAGUAAUGCAUGAAUUGGUAUUUAGUGCAUAAUUGUUUGAUUUUAUUACAUUACUUUGAUAAUUAAUUUUGAAUUUAGGUUUGAGUCCGUGAAUUUGUAAAUCACCUUGUACCCUAAAGUUUUCUUAGUGGAUUUUUCAUGUGAUCAAUCCCGUGAGUUUUUUUUCUCAUGGUUGGAGUUUUCCACGUAAAAUUCUCGAUUUGUCCGUUUUAUUUUCUGUUUUAUAUUUAAUACGCGGAGUUAAUUGUGUUUUACGAUCUUUCAUCAUCGCCUGUCACACCAUUGUUGUUAUUCAAAAUUUUAAAUGGGUUAUCGCUGAAUUUUAUUUUAUAGCGAUGGUCUCUAAAAGUUCAUUUAAAUAGGCCUCACGGUAUUGAGAUUUAUAACACAAGUUUGCAUCUGUUCUUUAAUUUGCCUUUUCUGCUGCACUGCUGCACUGCUGCAGUACCACGCUACAUUAUUGUACUAUAUAACUAUUCGUUGCAUAGGCUAGCCUUGAAAUCCUAUCCUUAAAAAUGAAAAAUAUUUGUGUUAUUCUCUGUGAAAUUCCAAUUAGACUAUAAUUAAGCCAAAAUUAAUCUGAAUCUAACCCAAAUUGACUAUGACUAAACCCAAAUUAAGUCCAACACAUGAAAUUAACUUAAAUAAGAAAGUUAAUUUCUAAUCAACUAAUAAGCCUAGGCUACUGCAUAAACAGAAUUCCUCUAUUUCAUGUGAAUAUCAUCAACCUUAUAGCAUGCAUUGUGUGAGAACCCUAUUUCAACAGAACACUCAGGCUGAGCCCAACUGAAACGAACCUUCAGAUGACAAAGAUACAACCCCAAAAAUUCAAACUACAAGAAAUGUCAAAACCAAUGGUUAACUUGCUUGAAAAGCCUUCACAUAAUAUGUUUUGCUGAUGGGAAAAUAACCUGUGCACAAAUAUAUAUCUUGUCUAAUUUGCAUUUGUCAGCAAUGUUGAAAAAAAAAAGAAUUAAUGACUACUAUCUAAUUUCAGAAUAUUGCAAAGAUCAUUUCAUAAUGAAGACAUCAUAGUAAAAGAGAAGGUUCAUCAAAAACCAUACAUGCCAUUAACUGCUUCCACAUAAACAGUUCAACCUUUUAAGAGCAUGUUGCAGAUGUGAGAAUAGCAACGGAGCAUAAUUUCAAAAAUCCAAAUGUGCAAAAUUACUCACCGCAGCAAUUUAUGUCAGCAACAUCCAAGAUGUAUACUUUGGUUUGAUAUAUAUUUAAAUGAUAAUCUCCCCAAAAUUAGUACCUCUCAGCCAUCAAAGUAUCUAACUAUUUGCAUGCAUUCAAGCACAUCGAACCUACGCAUCCUCUGAGGUGCGAUAGUUAAGUAAUUAAUGUCUAAUUCAACAGUUUUAACUGGAUGCGAACACUUUAAUAUAAGCUAAAACAGAUGCAUUUCAUGCCUCCUACAUACUUGCGUAAUUAUUUAGAAUAAAAAGGACUUGACAUUCAAAGAGGAUCAUUUUGAAAACACGUAAUCUCAUACCUUGGGCAACUCUUUGGCCUUUUCGGCAUGACCAACACCAGCAACCACCGGCAUCCGCCUGCAAAAACACAUAAACAAGUUGUCAAAAUAAACAUGCAAAUGGAACCAAGAGAGGAGUAAAAAGAGUUUAGACAGCGGAACUGGAGGCAGAAAUCAAAGGCUCCUUCAACCAUGUCGUCAACGGUGUUAAGUAUUUCAUUGAUGAAGAGCUGUGGGUUGAGGCCUAAGACAUCGAAGAUCGCCUCGCUCUCCCUCACCUUCAUUCCUUAAUGCUGCCAAAAGUGCCUUCAAGAUCCUAAAUCAGAAAGUUUAAACAGUAAACAAGAUAAAGCUUGCACUCUGCAUAGUGCAUACUAACAUAUCUAAAGUCUAAACAGUAAACAAAUAAAAGAUAAUUAACCCCACUCCAUUGGUUCUGAGUCUUCAGACAGCAGCAAACAAAUUAAUGGAUGUAAGUAUGUAACAACAACAUAAUUAGGACUAAUAUGGAAAUCUGGAGUUUAUAGGAAGAGAAGGUUUUUUUGAGUGAAAGAAAAACACAACAGCAACAAUAUCAACCAUAUAAAUAAGAGAAAACUGUCACAAUAGAAAUCAAAGUUAACUAGGGAGAAACAAACAAUAUUGCAAGGAUUUUAAAGAUUUGGCACAUAACAUGCAGAUAAUAGCAAAUAUUAACUCCACUCGUAGUCAUGGAAAAUAUGAAUUUGUAGUUUUGUACCAGAUGAAGUGGGCAUGCGGCGGCGGAACAGCGGAACUCGGAACCAGAUUGCGAGUGGUGCGCGGCCACGCGGGGGGUUCCGAUGGCGAGCGGCGCGCGGUCGGGAUGGUUCAAAACUUCCGAUGGUGAGCAGCGCUCGGCCUCGCGGGGGGUUCCAGUGGCGAGCGGCGCGCGGCCGUGGUGGUUCCGAACUUCCGAUGCUCGGCCUCGCGGGGGGUUCCGAUGGCGAGCGGUGCGCUGCAGGGGUGGUUCCGAACUUCCGAUGCUCGGCCUCGUGGGGCGUUCCGAUGGCGAGCGGUGCGCGGCCCGGGGCGAGUUGGGUUCUAAAGAACCCGAUCUUCGAUGUCGAGCGGUGCGCGGCCCGGGGCGAGUUGGGUUCUAAAAAACCCGAUCUUCGAUGUCGAGCGGCGAGUGGCGCUGCAGGGACUGCCGAUGGCGAUCGGCGAGCGACCGGAAGGGAAGGGGAGGGGAGGGGAUGGGGGCGGAGGCAGGAGCAAGAAGAUAGGGCGAAAAGUUUUGAGCGACUAGGUUUUUUUAUGUUUUUUUUUUCUUUUUUUCCCCGUUUUGAGCGAGAGUGGGAAGAGGAGCAUCACGAACUCAGCGUUUUCGUUCGCAGUGUCCCUGCUGCACCCACUUUUUUUCACAAAAAUGGACGAGUCUUUGCUGCACCCACUUUUUUUCACAAAAAUGGACGAGUCUUUGUCUCGAUUGCUAAUCCGAACCUUCGCUUUCUAUAAAUAAAUAUAUAAAAAAAAAUAAGAAAAAAAAUAUAGACUUUCUCAAAAAACUAAGUAUUAUACUACUUAGAAAAAAAAAAUUAUAGCAUACAAACACACUUUCUUGUGUAUUUUGGCCUUAGCCAAAUUUUACUAUUUCUAAUGAUACAUAGAACCUAGUUACAUAACUCACCUACUAACCUAUUUAUAAUGAGCACUCAUAAUAGCCAAAAGCACAAGAGUCACACCAUAACUCAUGGCUGUUUUGCAACCCUUGAGUUUUCUACAGCGGGUUGGAUUUGGAUCUUCUUGACAACCCGAUUCAACCUGUUUUCGCUAGCAGAGUCGGGCCGGAAACCGGACUGCAAUAGAAUUUUUCUAAAUCCCUGACAGUACGGACACCCCGGGAUAAGCCACGAUUUUCUGAUAUAUAACUUUUAGAUAAAAAUUAUAUUGUUUUUAGGAAUAAGAUAAAUAGUAAUUAGAUUGUUAGAUUGGAACAGAGAAAAUAAGAGUUAUAAUUUUAAAUUAAAAUUAUUUUUUUCUAAUUAAUUAACAUCAAAAUAUUACUUAAAAAAUAAAAUAAUAUUAAUAAUUAUAAAUAUUGUAAUUUUAAAUUACAAAUAUUUUAUCUAAUUAAUUAACAUCAAAAUAUUAAUUAAAAAUAAUUCAAUAAAUUAAUAAAUUUAUUAGCUAUUAAUAUAACAGUAAACUAAUAAAUAUUAUUUAAUUAAUUAGUUAAUUAAUAUAUUAAUUAAUUAGUUAAUUAUAAAAUUAACUUAACUUUUUAAUUAGUUUGUAAAUUAUUUUAGUUAGAUAAUUAGUUAAAAAUUAAAUUGAUUAGUCAUAAUAUUAAUGAUUGAUCAAUAUUAUUGAAUAAAUUCAUUAAAAUAUUAAUAAGUAAUAUAUUAAUUAAUUAGUUAAUUAAUAUAUUAAUUAAUUAGUUAAUUAUAAAAUUAACUUAACUUUUUAAUUAGUUUGUAAAUUAUUUUAGUUAGAUAAUUAGUUAAAAAUUAAAUAGAUUAGUCAUAAUAUUAAUGAUUGAUCAAUAUUAUUGAAUAAAUUCAUUAAAAUAUUAAUUUUUAAUUAGUUAAUUAAUUAUAAAUAAUAAAUUAAUUAAUUAUCUUACUAUUAAAGCAAUAGGUGUUACGCCCCGCGACCGCCAAUUUGGUCGGUUCGGGUACAUCUACAGACGCCGAACGGACAGAACCUCUCCUGUCCGCCCAAGGCUCCACACAACAUCAAUAUGUAUAACAAUUUGCGCAAGUAGAAUUUGGAUAUAUAUGCCUUGCACGAGAGCAAGCAACAACCAAGUAAGUGAAAGUACUUCUACUAUCUUGAUUACAUUUAACCAAAUACGAGUUUGCCAUAUAUAUUACAUUCACUUUUUCUUCCAAAUACAUAACAUGUUCAUUUACGUCACACUUUUCAUCAUAUACAAAAGAUGAAGAAAAUAGGGUAUAAGCUAUACUCGACGGUAGCCUGCUACCUAGGGCGCGAUGCCCUUACCGCGAUCCUCGACCGCCCCGCUCGCGCUAGGAUCUGCAAGGUUAGUGAUGUGAGAACUAAUGAAAAUUUUCAGUGGGUUCGGCCGCCGACCCCGCCGACUCACCCACUAAGUCUACUCAGACAUAUAUAGAAAAAGAAGAGAUAGAUAGCAAACCAUACUAAUGCUAUUACAAUAUCUAUACAAAAACUGAUCAACAAGUAAUAUGCUCAUGAUGCAUAUAUUUCACUUUUACCUUUGCUUUUACCCAAUUCUCAUGGUUAACUUAUGGUUAAUCCCAACUCACCAACCAAAUCCUUUUCUGUCGGGAAAAAUUUCGUUACAAUCCGACGGGACCGUCUACUAGGGAGAAUGCUGCUACAACCCAAUUGGUGACCACUCCGAAGCUCAACGCUUGAGGUAGAACGAUCACCCUCAAGCAUAUUAGACCAACUGUGAGUAUAAUCCCAAUGGGUUAGAGUAAUUUUGUGUUUGGUUGAGUAAUUCCUAGGGAGGGGUAGGGUUAAGGGUGGGGUUAGCUAGGGUUAGCUAACCCCACCACAGUUUGCGGUCGGGACACCCCCCCCCAAUUCUUGUUUGGGGUUAAGAGGGGGAUAACCUUGUUAUCCCCUCCUUCAACCCCGAACCAAACGGUGUGAAAAGGUUUUACCUUGUCUAGCACACCAUGUAUUUAGGUGCUAUUCAUUCCCUGUAGUCACAAUGUCACCUUAUUUAUUAUUGUCAUAGUCCAACACUCAAUUCAUAAAUUUAUAGGGUUUCUAUAUGCAUGGUCCAUUAUCAUUUCGUAUGUACUUUACAUUGAAAGCAUACAAGAGAUCCCAUAUCUUAACCACAUAUCACAAUAACCCUACCAUGCAUGAAUGCCACAUGUGUACAUAUAUGCUCAAAAAGGUGAUAUAGAUAUAAUGAGAAAUUCGAUGAUUUCGGAUAGCACCACCCACCUCGUAGUGAUGCCGAAGGGCUAAAACCCAAGCUUCACGAUUUAUGGUCGCCGAUUUUCCUUAACCCUCGACAAACGAAGCUGAAAUGAGGUUUUUACCUCAAUAACUCGACGUAGACUCAUCGGAAUUCCAAGCCAAGUCUUCUAACACAUCAGUUUAUACUCCAAUUAAGGCUACAAGAGAUCAAAUCUGUGUUAGAUCUCAUACUUUGUAAAACCCUAUUUUUAACCUUGGGUUUUCAUCAUCAUCAAAUACCCAAUAUUUUUGGGGGAUUCGUGAGAUAAUCUAACUUAGCAUCUUCUAAGAACAUCAACUAGAAGAGAGUUAACCAAACCAUAGCUCACAAUUACACAAACUCACCUCAACUUCUAGCUUCUUCCUCCACUCAAGCACAAGAGCAUAGCUUCACCCCCAAGCCUGCUUUCUUCUCCACCAAGCUCCACUAUUGGAGCAAACCCUAGAGAGAGAAAGGGAGAAAGGGAGAAAGUAGAAAGUGAGAGAAAGUUCUAGAGAGAGAAAGAGAGCUUUUCCUCUUUGGUCUCAUAUGAGGGAAAUGAGGGCUAGGAUAUAGAACCCAUAUAUUAACCCUCCCAAAUGACACUUGCACCAAGGCCCCUCACAAAAUUAAUAUUUUGGACCAACCAAAAUUUUUGCGUGUUCAGGGUCGGGACCUUGCACUCAAGGUAUGAACCACGAGAGCAAUUUUUCACUGUCUCACAACCAGGGUUCUGACCUUACUGCCAGGGCCCGGACCCCGAGAGCAAAAGCGUGCUCAAUCGACUCGAAACUUCCCAAUUUGCUCUCCAAGGUCCCAAACACCUAUCCAAACCCUUAUGAAGCAUUCGGAAUAUCUCACAGACCUCACCAUCUUGUCCAUCACCAGACUUUGGUCAAUUUGACUGAAGUUCGGUACAUCCUAUCAGGGAUUUGGUAUAUCACAUGCUCCACCCCUUAAACAUAGUUUCGUCCACGAAACUCAAAUUUCAUACCUUAGCUCAUCUACUCAAAUAGAUGAUGAUAGGUUUCUCGCAUCGUCUCCUCGAGAUCCUAAGUGGCUUCAUGCCUUGCAUGAUUGCUCCACUGAACCUUUACAUACGGAAUUGUACGAUCCGCAAUUCCCUCACCUCUCGAGCAAGGAUGCACACCGAAAAUUCUUCAUAGGUCACAUCCUCGUGCAACUCCACCGGUUCAUAUUCCAAGACAUGAGAGGAAUUAUGGGCAUACUUACGGAGAUUGGAUAUAUGGAACACAUUGUGAACUCCCGCAAGCCUCGGUGGUGAUGCAAGUUUAUAUGCCACCGCACCUACAUGCUCUAGAACCUCAUAUGGUCCAAUGUAUCGGAGGCUAAGCUUUCCCCGAAUACCAAACCGCUUCACACCACGCAUGGGUGAUACUUUCAGGAAAACGCGGUCUCCCACCGUGAACUCGAGAUCUUUUCGGCGUUUAUUAGCACAACUCUGCUGUCGAGUUUGUGCUGUCAAAAGCCGCUGGCGAGUAAGGCGAACUUUCUCUUCCGCCUCCCACAACACAUCCGAACUAAGGGUGGCCUUUUCACCCACUUCGAUCUAAUGAAUAGAGGAGUGACACUUUCUUCCAUAAAGAGCCUCGAAUGGCGCUGUGAGGUGCUGGCUCCUCGGCCUAUGGUGCCACUUUUGGUCAAAGUGACCGAAGCAUGGCGAGAGGAACCGUUGGACAUAAUUUGUAUGUCGUCCCGAAAGCCUCGAAAUUAUUAGAGGUGAGUUUCGGAAGUAUUUAAGUGGUUUUGACAUUGAUUGGGGCGAAAUUGGACUUAAACUGUAGCACACUGAACUUUAGCAAAUUGCAAGUGUCACGCCCCGAGACCGCUACCAAUUUGGUACGGUCCGGGCGCGUCGAACAGACGCCGAACAGACAGGACCUCCCCUGUCCACCGAAGGCCAAGCAACUGAUCAUGUAUAAGAAUUUACCCAGGAGUCAAUUCAUAAAUACACGAUCGCAAGGAGCACCACCAGUGCUAACAAACAAGAGCAAGAUACAAGUAUGAGACAUACAAGUAAAUAAAGAGAGAAGGUUCUAUCUAUUACAUUCAUUCCACUUAAUACAUCGAUUUGCUUUUGUCACGCCCCGGGACCCAGCGGAAGCCGGCCCGGCACGUGCCCAGACCCGCCAUAUGUCUAAAACAUAUAAGGCGUCUAAAAACAACAAUAGUAAAAGCAGUAGUAAAAGGCAUCUAGGAGUAUCAGAGCAUAAUAAAUGUCUAAAUGCUACAACAAAGGAUAAGGAUAAAACUGUAAAUCCACUAAAACAUAAAGUGAUACAAGGAAAAGCCCAGAUAUAAGUGCUAAAAGUAGAUACAUAGGUGGUCUCUAUACAUGGAUACAAAAUCUCUCACUCUCUCUCAACUACAAAAGAAAGAGCAAGCCACCUAGGCAAAGUACCGCUCCUCGCUAGCUAGCUAAGCGAUUCCCUUGCCGCGAUCCCGUGCCUCCGCCGGUGCCGAAGGCUCUGAAAAGUAAACCAUAAAACAGGGGCAUGAGAACUAUUAAAAAUAGUUCCCAGUGGGCAAUUACUGACUUCAGUGAAUGCACCACAGGGCCCAAAGCUACAAAGGGUGUCAGUGACUAUAAAUGCAGAAAAGCGAAAGGUAAGUAAAAAUUUAACUUACUACAAUAUGAUAUCUCUACUUAGCAUAAAUAGCACAAGUAUGAAGCAACUAUGCAUGAAGUAAAAGUCUCUAACUAUCAUAAUGUUCACAAUGCGAAAUAGUAAAGUUCCGUUGUUUACUAUUCUAGUCAAUGUCCAAGUAGUACACUAAGUCAUCAUCUGUCCACAUGUCAUGACGAAUACUCGAAGUCAAAUCUGAAGAGACCCACCCGAAGGCUGUCUAUGGCCCUGAGACCCACCCGUAGGCUGUCUGGCCGGUGCCGAGCCUAAUGGCCCCGUGGUAGUCAUCAUCCCCACCCUAGGAAUGAGCCUGUCCCACGGCAAUCCACUUCGGCGCCCAAUCCCGCACGGCGAAUAUGAAUCGCGAUGGCUAUCUCCGGAGUGCCGGCUUGUAGGGAGCGACCCUCACAAGCAUGUGCGAAUGAGCACAAUGGCAAGUAGUCAAACGAUCUGUCGCAAGUACCAAGUCCUCAUGUCUAAUAACAUGGAAUGUAUCGAAUGUCCCAAAGGCCUAUCUCUAUGUCAUCAUGUCUCUAACAUGGAAUAUAUAGCAGAUGUACAAUGGCCUAUCAUCAUGUCUCUAAGUUGCAUUUUCAUAGUUUACUAAUUCCAAGUGCCCCUUUAUGACACUUUUGUUCAACGAGUCCCAAGCAUGGCAUUAAUAUGUUCAUGAUGCAUAGUUCACUCAAUUCUAGCAUGGAGACAUGUUCUCAACUUGCAAAACCAAGCACUAUCCACAAUGCAUGCAAUCUACACAUAUAGCUCUACUAUAUGGAGUACAAAUUUUACGAUACAUGAGGCAUGCAUGUUAAGUGUUCUAAAAUUCAUAUAAAUCAUGUUUAGCAUGAAUUUGCAUUCAAAAAUACUUUACAAAAAGUUUGGAAGGCAUAGGGGUCAUUUUGCCCCAUUUUCAUGAAGUCAAACCCACCAAAAUCGACUUCUUCGUUUCGCCGAACGAAGGUAUCCACAAGCUUCCUAGUACCCUCAAGUGAAAACCCUCUCUUAAUCUUCAAAUGGAAGGUAGGGGUCUUCCAAUCUAACCUCAAGAGGAGCUCCAAUCCAAGCACUUCAACCAAGUAGGGUUGAAGUUCGAUCCUCCACAAAGCUCCAAUCGCAAGUUCAAAGCCACCAAGGUGAGAAAUGGGGAAGAAGAUGAUGCUCCAAGGCCUCUAAGCAAGCUCCUUCUCCUCUUCUCCUUCUUCUUCUCCCUCUCUUCUUCUCUCUCUAAAAUGCAAAGGGUUGAGAGAAAUAAGGGAAAGAGAGAGAGGAAAGNGAAGACGCGUUCGGGAACCGGUCUCGCCUGCCAGGGACCGGUUGCCUCAGGCUGUCUCAACCCUGCUCACUGGGGGGACCGGUCUCUCCUUCCAGGGACCGGUCCCCGAGAGUAAAACUCUCAGGACUUGUCCAGAAUUCCAGUUUUCGAACUUUUUAGGUCGGAAUACAUUCUACAACCCUCCACUAAGUGUGGAAAAGCUCGAAAUACAUCCAAACACUCGAACCUCGCAAUUUGCAAAGGUCCAGUGUGUUAUACAGACCUUCUCUUCCACCUCUCGCAACACAUCGGGGCCGAAUUCCGUGCGCUCGCCCACAUCGCUCCAAUAAAUGGGAGAUUGGCACUUCCGCCCAUAAAGGGCCUCGAACGGUGCCAUCUCCACACUAGCGUGAUAACUAUUGUUGUAGGCGAACUCGGCCAUUGGCAAAUAUUUGCACCAGCCUCCUUUGUAGUCGAUGACACAAGAUCGCAACAUAUCCUCCAGAGUCUGAAUAGUCCUUUCAAUUUGUCCAUCCGUCUGGGGUUGAAAUGCAGUGCUGAAGUCGAGCCGUGUGCCAAGGGCCUCCUGCAGGCUUUCCUAGAAAUGUGAAGUGAACUUGGGGUCUCUAUCCGACACAAUUGACUUCGGUACCCCGUGUAACCUCACUACCUCAUCAAGAUAUAUCUGCGCCAACUUAUCUCCCGCCCAGGUGGUGUGGACCGGCAAAAAGUGCGCUGACUUCGUCAAGCAGUCCACAAUCACUCAUAUUGCGUCGUGGCCCCCUGUCGAGCGAGGCAAUCCAAUAAUGAAAUCCAUAGAUAUAUCCUCCCAUUUCCAGACGGGGAUAGGUAGGCUUUAAAGCUUUUCCGCUGGAAACCGGCGCUCCGCUUUCACUUGCUGACAAGUCAAACACUUCGCCACGAAGCGCCCAAUAUCAACUUUCAUCCCCGGCCACCAAUAGAGUGCUCUCAACUCAUGAUACAUCUUGGUGCCGCUCGGGUGAUCAGUGUAUGAAGACCGGUGGGCUUCUUGCAAGAUCAACUCGCGAAGCUCUUCAUUCUCGGGCACGCACCACCGGUUUCGAAACCGGAGCGCGCCACCGGCGUCCACACUAAAAUCGCCGCCUCGACCUUUCUCGAUGUUGCGUCGCACCUUUUGGAGACUCGGAUCUGCAGGUUGCAAAUUCUUGAUCCUCUCCAAUAAGGUCGGUUGAACAACGAGUGCCAUCAACUGAGUCGGAACCUCGGGAGCGACCACUUCGAGGUCCAGUCGCUCCAUCUCCAGCCCUAGGGGUGUUUGCCGGGUAACAUCAAAAGCGAGGUUCUUCACCGACUUUCUACUAAACGCAUCCGCGACCACAUUUGCUUUGCCGGGGUGGUAGAGAAUGUCAACAUCAUAAUCUUUUAAUAGCUUUAGCCACCGCCUUUGUCGUAUAUUUAGCUCCUUCUGGGUAAAUAAAUACUUCAGACUUUUGUGGUCGGUGUAGAUCUCGCAGUGUGCACCAUAUAGGUAGUGCCUCCACAACUUCAGCGCAAAGAUCACCGCCGCCAACUUCAAGUCAUGAAUGGGAUAAUUCUUCUCCUGGCCUUUUAACUGACGGGAUGCAUAAGCUAUCACUCUCCCGCCUUGCAUCAGGACACACCCUAGACCCAGAUAAGAUGCGUCACUAUAGACCGCAAAGUCCUCGCCCUGCACUGGUAAGGCAAGUAUCGGAGCCGACGUUAACCUUUUCUUCAACUCGUUGAAGCUUUGGUCACAUUCGUCGCUCCAAAUAAACUUGACGCCCUUCUAAGCGGAGUCACAAUCUUCGAAAAACCCUCCACAAACCGUCGAUAGUAGCCCGCUAAGCCUAUAAAGCUUCGGACCUCCGUGACGUUCGUUGGACGCGGCCAAUUCUCGACUUCUUCGACUUUCCUCGGGUCAACCGAAACACCACCCUCGGAAAUCACGUGCCCCAGGAAGGCGACCUCUCGAAGCCAGAAGUCACAUUUCUUUAACUUUGCGAAUAGCUUCUCCUCCCAAAGGAUUUGAAGCACUAUCCGCAAAUGCUCCGCAUGCUCCUCAUCGCUUCGCGAAUAGACCAAGAUGUCGUCUAUGAAGACCACGACAAAUCGGCCCAAGCACGCUUUGAACACAUGGUUCAUUAGAUCCAUGAAUGCUGCUGGGGCAUUAGUCAGCCCGAAAGGCAUAACUGUGUACUCAUAGUGUCCAUGCCGCGUACGAAACGCGGUCUUCUGAACAUCCUCCGACUUAAUCUUUAACUGAUGAUAGCCAGACUGUAGGUCUAUCUUCGAGUACACUUGUGACCCCUGUAACUGAUCAAAUAAGUCAUCAAUUCGGGGCAACGGGUACUUAUUCUUUAUCGUGACCUUAUUCAACUCUCGAUAAUCUACGCAGAGUCGAAACGAGCCAUCCUUCUUGCGCACGAACAACACCGGGGCUCCCCACGGCGAUACACUUGGCCUGAUAAACCCCUUAUCGAGGAGAUCUUGUAGCUGGUCCCUCAGUUCUCUUAACUUUGCCGGUGCCAUGCGGUAUGGGGCCUUUGAGAUCGGCGUCGUCCCGGGAGCCAAGUCUAUAAUGAACUUGAUCGCCCGAUCCGGCGGCAUCCCCGGUAACUGCGCAGGAAAUACAUCUGGAAAUUCCCGCACCAUUGAUAAUUCCUCUAAAUUCGGAGCCACUCGGUCCACCUCCACGAUGGUCGCCAAAAAUGCUAUGCAGCCGCCAUUGACAAACUUUCUAGCUCUCGUCGCUGAUACCGUCGCGAUGAAGCAAGAGCUUCGACAAGCUCGAUAAACGAACUCCUUCUGUCAUGGCUCCCAAAAGGUGAUCAAUUUAUUCUUACAAUUGAUCGUGGCGUAAUACUUCGAGAGCUAGUCCAUGCCCAAAAUGACGUCAUACGCCUCCAGUUUAUUGAGUUCCAAUAUCCGGAUGGGCAUUAUCCACUCGUCUACUUGUACUGGGCACGACGAGCACUCCGUGUAGGUAUUGAAUGACGACUCAGGGCCUUCAACUCGCCACUUGCCACUUGCUUCUAUAUGUAUGUCGUGCAUGCGUGCAAAUGCUCUACUAAUGAACGAAUGCGUGGCACGUGUAUCAAACAUAGCCCUGGAGCGAACUCUGUUAAUCAAAACCAUACCUGCCACAACGUUAGGCUCCUCGGCUUGGGUAGACUCCUCGGCUUGGGCCUGAGCGGCGAAUACCCGUCCGCUCGGCGCUGAUCGAGUCACCUCCGGCUCACGCGGCAUCAGGGCGCGUCCCGCUGAUACGGGAAUAUAUGAGGCCCCUCCAUGAUGAGGCGGGGGUGCUGGAGUCGACGCGGCUGACGGAGUAGACGAGGCCCUUGUUGGACAGUCGCGGCUUAUGUGCCCUUCCUGUCCGCAGUCGUAGCAUUUACCUUGACGUUGCCUACACUGCGGCGCUCGAUGACCCUGGCCUCCACAGAUAAUGCAUUGCUGCGGCCCACGGCCCCAUGACUGCGACCGCGGAUACUUCGGGGGCCUCCUGGAACUAGAUUGUCCUCCCGAAUCGCCGCCCGAUCGCUUCCUCCCUUUGUCUUGAAGUCCCGCCAGCAGCUCACAUUCCUCCCGCACAUGGGCAUCUCCAUGCUCUGCCCACAGCGCCCGGUCAAAAACUUCGGCGAAAGUCGUGAGCUUGAACAACUGCACUGCCCGAUAUAUCCACGGCCGAAGUCCCCGCAAGAACCAUUCGGCCCUGUCCCCGUCAUCUUUAACCACAUCUGGGACACAGUCUAUAAUAUGGGAGAACUCCUGCUCGUAAUCUGCCACUGAACGGUCCCCCUGUCUCAAUUUGCAAAACUUCUCCUUCAACUUCCGCUUCUUGGUGUCGAGGAAGUAAUUUCCAAAUAUUGCCCCCUUAAACUCCUCCCAGAGCAUUGGUGGAAGGUCAGAGGGCCGAUCCCGCUUCAACCGCUUUCACCACACUUUUGCAGCCUUCUCGAGGCAAUGGGUGGCGAGGGUACCUUGUCCUUCUCCGAGGUAUAUAGGUCCUCGAAGAGGGUCUCCAUAGAGUCAAUCCAGGACUCCACCACUGACGGCUCCACCUUCCCCCCUUCAAAGGCUGGUGGCUUAAACUUCAUGAAUUUAAUUAGAGCCGUCAGCGCAGGCUCCCGCUCCACUUCCUCAGUCGUCGUAUCAAGUGUCGCCGAACCCGAAGCUGUCGGAGGUGCACUUGCCGGCGGGGGACAGGCAGCCACCGGAACCGCUGCUAUGCCCUCACCCUCGGCCGCUAUCGGCGCGCGCGCCGAAGGUGUGGGUGGAUUGCGACCCUCUGUCGCUGUCGCGGUCGCCGCCGCCGCUCCACGAAUCCCUGAGCUGCUCAAACCGAGCCUCUUGGCACUGCAUCGCGUCCAACAUCGCAGCGACCUGCUCACGCAGUUCCUGUACUUCCUCCGAUCUUGGCUACUCGGGAACCGCAGAAGGCGGUACCGAAACAGACAUACGUACAUAACGUCUUGGGGACAUUUGCUCCUGAAAAGCAACAACUUGGUUAGUUAUCUUAAUCCGAUAACUUCCUAGCGUUCGCGAAAUAAACGACUCGGCAAUGAAAUUGGGAGGAAGUACACAAGUGUUCUAGUUCUGGACUCUUAGCGUCGCGUCGUCGGCCGCCGACACAACCACUACGAGCCAAGAAACUAGUGUCACUUGGAUCCGUCUCUAUUCACAGCUAGAGACAUAACUUCAACUCCGACCUAAUCGAUUAACCUCCGCCACCGUCAUGGGUUCACGUUCACUCACGCCCCUAUAAUCUUAAAGUUUACCAACCUAGGGUCUCCUAGGUCAUCCUAGACUCUCUCUUUACUUGCUCUUAACGCUUUGAUACCAUUUUUAUUUGUCAUGCCCCGAGACCGCUACCAAUUUGGUACGGUCCGGGCGCGUCGAACAGACGCUGAACGGACAGGACCUCCCCUGUCUGCCCAAGGCCAAGCAACUGAUCAUGUAUAAAAAUUUACCCAGGAGUCAAUUCAUAAAUACACGAUCGCAAGAAGCACCACCAGUGCUAACAAACAAGAGCAAGAUACAAGUAUGAGACAUACAAGUAAAUAAAGAGAGAAGGUUCUAUCUAUUACAUUCAUUCCACUUAAUACAUCGAUUUGCUUUCAAAACAUAAACAUAAAUAUACCAUGCUUUUACAUCUUCCAAAAUAACCUCACACCUAUACAUCAUCUACUCUCAAAUACAAAAGGGGACGGCUAAUGCAAAAGGAAGUAAAGCUAGCUACGUACAUAUACCACUAGGGCGCUAUGCCCUUGCCACGAUCCUCGUGCUCGCCGGGGACACUCGAACUCAGACCUGUAAAGAGUGGGGUGAGAACUAUCUUCCAUAGUUCCUAGUGGGUUCGGCCGCCGACUCCGCCGGUCUUCCCACUAGGUCCAAGUGGGCACAAGUAGAUAAACAGAUAGAUAGAUAUGAAAAGCUGUGAAACAGAAUAGUAAAGCUACACUACUGUGCCCGAAUCAUGAAUAUGGAGAGUGCAUGCACAAUGAAGUAGAUAAUCAACUAGCUUAUCAUAUGUCCAAGAAGUAAGGCUAUUUACUUGUCCAUUAAUCUCAUGGCUCACUCAAGGAUUCGCCUACUACUCACAUAGCCAUCUCGACGCAUAGGGAGACUAGACUCAAACUACGAAUCCGAGACCGUCUGCGGGACCCCACAUAGGCCAUCCCUCGUAGGGAUGCAAACGGGGCGGAUCUGGGGGCGGGAGAGUUCCCCCACCUCCCGCUCCAUUUCUUAUCUAGGCGGGACGGAUUCGGGGCGGGUUACUUUUCAUUUUAUUUUUGGCUCCCACUUACCGCUCCAUUCGGGGCGGAUCGGUGCGGGAGCGGGGCGGGAGCGGAGUUUUAACGGAUCGGGGUAGAUUGAAGGAAGAAAAGAGUCUCCCGCCUCCCGCUCCAUUUACUUGGCGGAUCGGGGCGGAUUCGGGGCGGGUUAUAUUUUUCUAUAUUUUUUGUCCCCACUUACCACCCCAUUCGGGGCGGAUUGGGGCGGAGCUACACCAACCCGGAUCCAUUUGCAUCCCUAAUCCCUCGCGACCCCAAAUAGACCUUCCCUAUCCCAUGGGACCCCAAAUAGGCUAUCCCACGUGACCAACUUCCACGCUUCACCCAUGGAGAAAAGUGCACCAAGAGGGAAAAGAGAGAGAUCAACACAUAAAUCCCAAGCUAAAAAUGAGAUCAAAACCAAAGAGAAGCAUGGAGGAGCUCCCCUUACCUUCUCCCUACUAUGGCAAGCUCAAAGAGCAGCCCUAGGGGCGUGGGUGCUGUUAUAGAGAAGCCACAUUGCAAAAACACCCCUGCAGUUUCGAUCAUUCAAAAACUGUCACUGCGUACCGGUACACGGGCCCACGUACCGGUACACAUCCUACAAAAUAGCCAAACCCGAGCCUCGGGUUGGCUGAGAAGCAGCCAAUGUUGAUGGCUGUACCGGUACAGCCAUCACCCCGUACCAGUACACAGCCCUCUGAAGGCUACCCGAGAGCUAACCAAAAAUCCGAUUUUUCGGGUUUUGGUGCUAGGCUUUAAACCUCACUUCUCGAGGUUCGAACCAUAGGUCUGAACACUAUCAACGACCCACCAGAAAGUCUGGAAAAGCUCAGGAUACAUCCAAUCACUCGAAUCUCGUAAUUUGCAAAGGUCCAGUGUGCUACAUUCACCCCUCCUAAAAAGGAGUUUCCUCCGCAAAACUCAAAAGUAAAGUACCUCAAGCCUCCAUCUGAAAAAAAUGGGGAUAGCGUUCCCGCAGUGCGCUCUCCAACUCCUAAGUGGCCUCGUGCUCGUCGUGGUUGCUCCAAAGCACCCUCACGUAGGGAAUCUCACAGUUCCAAAGCACCAUCACAUUCCAAGAGUAGGAAUGUUGGGCUACCACAGGCACUUAGGCGGCGCAAGCUGGACUACCUUGGGUAGGUCCUUAAUUGGAAAUGGAAAUCGACACAGUAUUGAGUGUGUUAUAAUCACUACUAGAUAGAGAGUAGUAGUUGGAUUACUUGGAUUUGCUUCUAGCAUAGUGUUGGACACUUGAGUAUACAUACAUACAUGUAGCAUGCUAGGAGAUGUUGUUCAUUGCAUUCACGUAAACAUUGUUUACUAUAGUAAAGCAUGAUCUUCAUAAAUUCAUAAAACAAAUUAUGAUUGUUACUUGUGGUCAUGUAGGGACAUACUUGUUCAUUAUGAAUUAAAGGUGCAUCUUAAUUAAGACAAUGUAGUAUCUUAGCAUUUUAAUUAUGCCUUCUUAAAUGCAAACCAUUCAUGAUUAUUAUUGCUCUUUUUUUUAACUUACCCUUUCUUUGGGGCCUAGUGGUGCAUUGAGCUGAGGUCAGUAAUUGCCCACUAGGAACUAUAAAUUAUAGUUCUCACGCCCUCUGCUUUCUGUUUUCUGUCAGAGCCUUCCACGCCAGGAGAGGCUAGGGACCGCGGGAAGGGCGUUGCUUCGAGCUAGCUCUUCUGUGAGGGACGACUUGAUAGGUGGUUUACCUCUCGAGGUUUUUAUUUUGGAAAGGUUGAGAGUUGUACCAGUGUACUAGAGACCACUCUUUUGUGUACCUUUUUGGACAGAUAUUGUAUAACUAUAUGUUUCACUUUUAUUGCUUUAGCAUUUCUCUUUUACCUUGUUGUAGAUGAUAGCUCUAUUUGUGCUCUGAUAUCUCUAGAUGUUAUUGAUUUUUUUAGCUUUAUUUUUUCGCUGUUGUUUAGAUGCCUUAUAUGUGUUGACAUAUGGCGGGUCUGGGCACGCUACCGGGAGGGAUUCUGCCGGUCCCGGGGCGUGACAGAUUAGUUUGGUAUCAGAGCCUAUGGUUGAGUCUUAGUGGACCUAGUAAACCUUAGGCCGGUUGGACUAUAGGAAAUAGGCUCGUGAGAGACGAGGUCUAAUCUAAUUGUUAGUGAAAGUAUUUCGAUUGGGUUUGAUGAUAACUCUAAAAAGUUAGAGUUUGAUCGGAGUGUAUGGCUUCUAACUUCGCGGAGGGUUACGUUGGCGACCGACAACGUAACAUCGGGAGUUAGUAGUGAAGGACACUUUCUUACUUUCGCAUGAUUUGGGUACUUAUCUAUUUGAGCGGGGUUGCGAUAGCGUGGGUUUUACUAACUUGCGCUUUUAUGAUGUUAUAGUGACAAUGCCGACGACUCGCUCUAUGUCUAUCGGAGCGGACAAUGCGACGAACUUUGAGGAGGUGGAGACCUCCGCUACCUCCGGAUCCGGCGAGGUCCGUGAGUUGAGGAGCCGGCUGGCGGCCCUCACUGAUUUGGUCGCGCAGCAGGCAGGGGCAGCACGACAGCAGGCGGAUGCGGCGCGCCGACAGGAGGAGCGGAUGGAGCGACUGGAGGAUUUGCUUAGGCUGGUGGCUGCCAGGGAGGCAUAGGUGUCCACACCCCCACCAGCACCGGCAGUGAUAGCGACACCGAGGGCGCCGUCUCCAGGGCCCGGUACUCCGCGGACAUCAUCGGAUAUUGCACCUCGGGGAGAGGAGUUCGUGGCACCACCGGCGCGAGCAUCUGUAGCGGGGGCGGUUUUUCCCGUGAUGGUUGAGGGAGCUGAGCGGGAUCAGCUCAUGGAGCGCCUUAGUGAGUUCAGGCGAUGCAGUCCACGGGAUGGGGAGAACGUGGACCACUGGAUAGUGGAGAAGUGGCUCAUGCAUAUGGAGAAGCUAUUUCGAGAUACCUUUGUGGAGCAGAGGGACAGAGUGUGGCUCGCCACUCACUUUUUGGAUAGCGAGGCCUACCGUUGGUAGUUGGAUAUCCUGGACAAUCCCAACACAGACUUGGCAGCGAUCUCUUGAGCGAGGUUCAAGGAGCUGCUUUUGGCGCACUACUUUCCUACGAGCGCGAAGAGGAAGAUGGAGCAAGACUUGCGCAGCUUGCGCCAGGAGGAGCGGUCAGUGGCCAAGUACGAGAGGGAGUUUUCUCAGCUACUCCACUGUGUACCAUUUGUGGUGCGGGAUGACGAGGACAAGGCCCGCAUUUUUGAGCGUGGGUUGCGGCCAUCGAUCUUCCGGUUGGUACAGUCCUCUAACCUCCAAACCUACCGGGAGGUUGUGGACCGUGCACUCAUUGUGCAGGCUGGAGCGGCAGACCUUCAGGAGCGACGCGAGGCCCUAGACAAGGGCAAGGGCAAGAAGACAGCGGCUGAGGGUGCGAGUCAUACGCACUCACGGAGGCCGCCGAGGCAUCCCAGGAGUCGGAGCCAGUCGCGAGGAUGUGGCCAGUCUACUCAGCGAGGAGGACCUGAUCGAUGCCAGGCUCCGCGCUGUGUGAUCUGCGGUGGUCCCCAUUUUCCACGGCAGUGUUCACGCAGUCGGGGCAGGUGCUUUCUGUGUGGCCAGGAGGGCCACUUCCAGUCGGACUGCACGAGGGGUUCAGCGUCAGCGCCAUCAUCGGCAUCAGCGCCAACUUCACCGGGUCCCAGCCAGGGGACACUUCCUGCACCUUACUAGGCCGGGCGGCCACCUGUCCAGCGGCAGAUGGAGGGGUCACGACAGGCCCCGAGCGGGCCCAUGUACGCGGCUCAGACUGAGGAUGCGGCAGCAGCCGAGAAUGUGGUCGCAGGUAUCAUUUUACUUUAUGGUAUUCGAGUACGAGCAUUGUUUGAUACUAGUGCAUCGCAUUCAUUCAUAGACCGGCUGUUUGCCGAGUUGCAUGGCAUCCCACUGACAUCUUUGUUGCAUCCUGGACGAGUUGUUGUACCCGAUCAUUCUUUAGAUAUUCGGGAGUACUGUCCCAGUUACCCUGUUCGGGUUGGAGAUUGGAUUAUGCCCGUAGACCUUUUAGCUUUGCGUAAACUUGGAGAGUUUGAUGUUGUCUUGGGCACGGAUUGGUUGACUAAGUACUACGCCACUAUCGAUUGCAAGGAUCGAACUGUGACAUUUAGAGAGCUGGGGCAGGCGGAGGUUGUGUACCGUGGAUGCCAGAGUUCGCUAUUUGCGAUGACGAUUAGCUCCUCGCGAGCUAGACAGUUGAUUAGUAGAGGUUGUGUGGCCUACUAGGCUACUGUUGUGUUGAGGGGUGAUGACGAUGCCCUCAGGAUUGAGGAUAUCCCCGUAGUGCGUGAGUUUGGAGAUGUGUUUCUUGCUGAGCUUCCAGGCAUGUCACCUGAUAGGGAGAUUGAGUUUGUGGUAGAUCUCGUCCCCGGGACUACUCCAAUCUCAAAGGCGCCCUAUAGGAUGGCACCAGCAGAAUUGAGAGAGCUGAAGGCACAGUUGCAGGAUCUUUUGGAUAAGGAUUUUGUGCGACCGAGUGUGUAACCUUGGGGAGCACUGGUCCUGUUUGUUAAGAAAAAGGAUGGAUCACUUCGCUUAUGCGUGGACUAUCGUGAACUUAACUGUAGCACACUGGACCAUUGCAAAUUACGAGGUUCGAGUGUCCGAGCUGUGUUCUGAGUUUUUCCAGAUUUUCUGGGGGGUCGUUGACUGUGUUCCGACCUAUGGUUCGUGUCUCGAGAUUUGCGGUUUAAAGCCUUGCACCAAAACCCGAAAAAAAGGGAUUUGGCCAACUCUUGGGUAGCCAUCUGGAGGUCUUGUACCGGUACAAGGUUGAUGGUUGUACCGGUACAAGGUUGAUGAUUAUACCGGUACAGCCACCGGGCUUGUACCGGUACAGAGCCGCUGAGCCCCCCCAACCCGAGCCUCGGGUUGAGAUUUUUCGUGGGGCUUGUACCGGUACAAGGGCCCGUGUACCGGUACAAGGGGACAUUUUUCGUGCAGUCUGGACUGCAGGGGUGUUUUUGCUUUUGUAGCUCUUCUAUUAGAGCCCCCACGCCCCCUAGGGCUCCUCCUGAGCUUGGAACAGCAAGAGAGAAGGUAGGAGAGCCAUCCUCUUCAUCUCUUUCAUUUCCUUGAUUUUGGUUUGGGUUUUUGGUGAUUAAACCCCCUCUUUUGCUCUUUUUUGCUUCUUUGGAGGCUUCUUCACCAUUGGAGCUUGGACUUGAGGCUUGGUGAGGGUUGAUCCUUGAAGUUUGAGAACUUUGAGCUUGGAUUGAAGCUUCUUAGAGGUUGGUAGCCCUCUCUCUCCAUCUAGACUUUGGAUUUCAGGUUUUCUUUGAGUUGAAACCCUAGAUUGUAAACUUAGGGUUGUUUUUGGGCGUUUUUGAUUUAGGGCUUUUGAGGCUCAAUCUUUUGGAUUAGAACCUUCCUCUAGGUUGGUUUGGGAGGGUUCUAGCUCUCAUUUGGGGCUUGAGAAGAGAUUGUUGCUCUUGAGGUGAGUUGGCCCCCUUUUGCUAGAUGGUUAAUGAUUGAGCUAUAGGCUCUUCAUUUCGUUUGGGUAACCCUACUUUUGAUGCUUCUAGGGUACUAGAAAGCUCGUGGACCACUUCGUUCGGCAAAACGAAGAAGUCGAUUUUGGUGGGUUUGACUUCGUGGAAACGUGGCAAAAUGGCCCUAAACUCUCUAUACUUGUUGUAAAGAAUUUUUAAAUGCAUUUCUAUGCUAAAUAAAAUUUAUGUGAAUUUUAGAACACUUAAAAUGCAUGUCUUAUGUGUAAAUUAAAUUUCGCUCUAUAUAGUAGAGCAAUCAGGGUUAUCUUCAUGCAUGUGAGGAGUGUUCGUGUGGACGAAUGAGAUUCUCGUCGAGUAUGCUAAAUUAGCUCACAUUUGUAUAAUUGGAAACAUUAUACUAAACUUUGACUUAGUAGCAUAAAGUGUCAUCAAGGGGCCCUUGGGAACUAGUAAACUAUGAAACUGCAACAUAGAGACAUAAUGUUAGUUCAUCGUACAUCUGCUAUAUAUUCCAUGUUAGAGACAUGAUGACAUAAAGAUAGGCCAUUUGGACAAUCGAUACAUUCCAUGUUUUAGACAUGAGGACUUGGUACUUGUGACGGACGCCUGACUACUUGCCAUUGUGCUCAUUCGCACAUGCUUGUGAGGGUCGCUCCCUACAAGCCGGCACUCCGGAGAUAGCCAUCGCGAUUCGUAUUCGCCGUGCGGGAUUGGGCGCCGAAGUGGAUUGCCGUGGGCCAGGCUCAUUCCUAGGGUGGGGAUGAUGACUACCACGGGGCCAUUAGGCUCGGCAUCGGCCAAACAGCCUACGGGUGGGUCUCAGGGCCAUAGACAGCCUUCGGGUGGGUCUCUCCAGAAUUGACUUUGAGUAUUCACUACGACAUGUGGACGGAUGAUGACUUAGUAUAUUGACUAGAAUAGUAAACAAUGACAUCUUUACUAUUUGCUUGAGGACAUCGUAUUGGUUGCAUACUUAUGCUUAUUCAUGUCAUACACAUCCAUAUACAUUCAUGUUAUAGUUGCUUUAUUACUUACGCAAAUCACGCUAAGAAGAGACAUUAUGCUAUAGUGAGUUACAUUUUACUUACCUUUUACUUUACUACAUUUUUGUCACUGACCUCCUCUUUGUAGCUUUUGGGCCUUGUGGCGCAGUUCACUGAAGUCAGUAAUUGCCCACUGGAAACUAUUUUUAAUAGUUCUCACGCCCUCUUUUUCGUGGUUUCUUUCAGAGCCUUCGGCACCGGCGGAGGCACGGGAUCGUAGCAAGGGGAUCGCAUAGCUAGCUAGCGAGGAGCGGUUCUUUGCCUAGGUGGUUUACUCUUUCUUUUUGUAGUUGAGAGAGUGAGAGAUUUUGUACCCAUGUAUAGAGACCACCUAUGUAUUUACUUUCAGCACUUAUUUUUGGGAUUCCUUUGUACUACUUUAUGUUUUUACUAGUGGAUUUCAGCUUUAUGUUCCUUUCUCUAUUGUAGGACUUAGUCUUAUAGCAUGUUCUGAUACUCCUAGAUAUAUUUUAUUAUUGCUUAUUUCAUCGUUGUUUUUAGACGCCUUAUAUGUUUUAGACGUAUGGUGGGUCUGGGCACGUGCCGGGCGGGCUUCCGCUGGGUCCCGGGGCAUGACAGAUUAAUUUGGUAUUAGAGCCUAGGGUUGAGUCUUAGGGGACCUAGCAAACCUUAGGCCGGUUGGACUAUAGGAAAUAGGCUCAUGAGAGACGAGGUCUAUUUGGCUGUAAGCGAAAGUAUUAUAAUUGGGUAUCUUGGAUAACUCUAAAAAGUUAGAGUUCGAUUGAAGGGUAUGGCUUCUAACUUCGCGGAGAGUUACGUUGGCGGCCGACAACGUAACAUCGGGAGUUAGUAGCGCAGAACACUUCUUCACUUUCGCAUGAUUGGGUUUUAUCUUUUGAGCGGGGAUACGAUAGCAUGAGUCUUUCUAACUUGCGCUUUUAUGAUGUUGUAGGGACGAUGCCGAUUACUCGCUCCCAAUUUGCCGGGGAGGACAAUGCGGCGAACUUUGAGGAGGUCGAGACCUCCGCUACCUCCGGAUCCAGCGAGGUCCGUGAGUUGAGGGGCCAGCUUGCGGCCCUCAUCAAUUUAGUCACUCAGCACGCGGAGGCGGCUCGACAGCAGACUGAGGCGGCGCGCCGACAGGAGGCGCGUAUGAAGCGCCUGGAGGACUUACUCCUGCAGCAGGCAGCAGCUUUUAGGGAGACGUAGGCCCCUACACCGCCAGCACCCGUUGUGGACGUCGCACCGAGGGCGCCGUCCCCCGCGCCCAGUUCUUCUCGUGCGGCGCCUGCGGCCGCGCCCCGGGAGGAGGUUUUGGCGGCACCACCUGUGCAGAGGCCCCCGGUUGGAGCUGCAUUCCCUACCUUGGUUGAGGGGGCGGAGCAAAACAGACUGAUGGAGCGCCUCAAUGAGUUCAAGAGGUGCAGUUCCCGAGUCUUCGACGGCGAGAAGGUCGACCACUGGAUCGUGGAGAAGUGGUUGAUGCAUAUGGAGAAGCUCUUCCGCAACACCUUCAUGGAGGAGAGGGAUCGAGUUUGGCUCGCCACUCACCACUUGGACGGCGAGGCCUACCGCUGGUGGUUGGAUCUCCAGGAGCACCCCAGCACUGACUUGGCAUCUAUCACUUGGACGAGGUUCAAGGAGCUUCUUUUGGUCCAUUACUUCCCGACCAGCGUCAAGCGGAAGAUGGAGCAGGACCUGCGCAACUUGCGCCACGGCGACCGGACUGUGGCCGAGUACGAGCGGGAGUUUUCUCGGCUUUUGCAUUGCGUGCCUUUCGUCGUGCGGGACGACGAGGACAAGGCCCGCAUUUUCGAGCGAGGAUUGAGGCCGUCCAUCUUUCGGUUCGUGCAAUCCUCUAACCUCCAAACCUACCGGGAGGUGGUGGAUCGCGCGCUUAUUGUGGAGAGCGGCGCAGCGGAUGUCCAGGAGCAGCGAGAGGCUAGGGACACGGGUAAGGCCAAGAGGCCUGCGGCUGAGGGUGCGAGCCAGACGCACUCUAGAAGGCCGCUGAAACAUCCGAGGAGCCAGCAGCGUGGACGCGGCUCAGCAGCGCAUCGAGGAGGAUCCGAUCGUCGCCGGUCUUCCCCGUGUGUGAUCUGCGGUGGUCCUCAUUACCCACCGCAGUGUCCACAGAGGGCGGGCAGGUGCUUCCAGUGUGGCCAGGAGGGCCACGUCCGUACUGAGUGCCCAAGAGGUUCUUCACCAGCACCGUCGACUGCAUCGGCACCGGCUCUACCAACCACCAGCCAGGGGACUCCCUCGGCAUAGUAUCAGCUUGGGCGGCCAUCUGUCCAGCGCCAGAGUGAGGGAUCCCGACAGGUCCCGAGUGGGCGCAUGUACGCCGCUCAGACCGAGGAGGCGGCAACAGCCGAGGAUGUGGUUGUAGGUUUCAUUUUACUUGAUGGCAUUAGAGUUCGUGCUUUAUUUGAUACCGGUGCAUCAUAUUCAUUUAUAGAUCGGCUGUUUGCCGAGUUGCAUGGCAUCCUAUUGGUUUCUUUACUGCAUCUGGGACAUGUUGUAGUACCCAACCAUAUUUUGGAUAUUAGAGAGUAUAGCCCCAGUUGCCCUGUUCGGGUAGGAGAUUGGAUCAUGCCGAUAGAUUUGCUAGCUUUGCGCAAGCUGGGGGAUUUUGACGUGGUCUUGGGCAUGGAUUGGUUGACUAAAUAUUAUGCCACGAUUGAUUGCAAGAAUCGCACUGUUACUUUUAGAGAACCGGGGCAGGCUGAGGUGGUAUUUAGUGGAUGCCAGAGUUCGCUGUUUGCGAUGACGAUCAGUCGAGCUAGGCAGCUGAUUAGUAGAGGUUGUAUAGCCUAUUUGGCUAGUGUUGUACUGAGGGGCGAGGAUGACACUCUCAGGAUUGAGGAUAUCCCGGUGGUGCGGGAGUUUCAGGAUGUAUUUCCAGCUGAGCUUCCGGGUAUGCCUCAUGAUAGGGAGAUUGAGUUCGUGGUAGAUCUCGUUCCAGGGACUGCCCCAAUCUCAAACGCACCCUAUAGGAUGGCACCGGCAGAGCUGAGGGAGCUGAGGGCACAGCUACAGGAUUUGUUGGAUAAAGGCUUUAUUCGACCAAGUGUCUCGCCUUGGGGAGCACAAGUUUUGUUCGUCAAGAAGAAGGACGGAUCACUUCGCCUUUGCAUAGAUUAUCGUGAACUCAAUAAGGUCACGAUCAAGAACAAGUAUCCGUUGCCAAGGAUCGACGACUUGUUUGAUCAGCUUCAGGGAUCGUGUGUGUAUUUCAAGAUAGACUUGCAGUCGGAAUACCACCAAUUGAGAAUCAAGCCUGAGGAUGUAUCGAAGACGGCUUUUAGAAAACGGUAUGGACAUUACGAGUUCACAGUUAUGCCGUUUGGGCUGACUAAUGCCCCGGCAGCUUUUAUGGAUCUAAUGAACCGUGUUUUCAAGCCUUAUCUAGACAGGUUCGUCGUGGUGUUCAUCGAUAACAUUUUGGUCUACUCCCGAAGCGAUAUGGAUCACGAGGAACACUUGAGGAUUGUACUCCAAGUACUUCAAAAAAAGGAGCUUUAUGCUAAGUUGAAGAAAUGUGAAUUUUGGCUUCGGAAGGUAGCUUUUCUUGGACACUUGAUUUCAGGAUCAGGUAUAGCUGUGGAUCCUAAGAAAAUUGAAGCAUUCAAGGAUUGGCCGAGACCGACGAGCGUCACGGAGAUACGGAGUUUUCUGGGAUUGGCCGGUUACUACCGGAGAUUUGUUGAGGGAUUUGCUAAGUUAUCUACUCCCCUCACGAGGCUUACGCAUAAAGGAGUCAAGUUCAUUUGGAAUGAUGCAUGCGAGAAAAGCUUCCUAGAGUUGAAGCAACGAUUAACUACCGCCCCGAUCCUGACCCUACCGGUAGCUGGAUUAGGGUAUGUGGUAUAUAGUGAUGCUUCACUUAAUGGUUUGGGCUGUGUGUUGAUACAGGAUCGCAAGGUGAUCGCGUAUGCUUCUCGCCAACUGAAGGAUUAUGAAAAAGAACUACCCGACACAUGAUUUGGAGUUAGCGGCCGUAGUAUUCGCAUUGAAGCUAUGGCGCCACUAUAUUUAUGGCAAGCGGUGUGAAGUAUACACGGAUCACAAGAGCUUAAAGUACCUGUUUACUCAGAAGGAGUUGAACUUGAGGCAGCGCAGAUGGUUGGAGCUACUCAAGGAUUAUGAUCUUACUAUUCUCUACUACCCGGGCAAGGCUAACGUGAUGGCGGAUGUGCUAAGUAGGAAAUCGAUGAAAAACUUAGCGAUGCAUUUGGUUACCCAACCGCAGUUGAUCGAGCAGAUGAAGCGGUUAGUGUUGGAGGUGGUGACUCCUGACACACCCUUGAGGUUGAUGACCUUGGUAGUGCAACCUACUCUUUUGGACAGAAUCAAAGAAAAGCAAGUUUCCGAUUUGGAAUUGCUCAAGAUUAGAGGUAAAAUGGUUGAAGGUUGCUGUAAUACACUGAACUUUCGCAAAUUGCAGAGUUCGAGUGUGUGGAAUGAUAUGUGGAUUUAUUCUACAUGUUCUAUAUGGCUUGGACAAGUUUUUGAAUAAGUUAGAGAGUGAUUGGAGGGUUAAAAGCGAGAAAGUGCAUUGAACUGGCAAAAUUGAGCCUUUUCUGCUUGCUGUACCGGUACAGCCACUAUGGUGUACCGGUACACAAUGGCAAAACGUGGCAGCAAGGCUAAUUUGGUAAUUUCACCUCUUGUCCCUAUCUACUUGACCCCAGCACGACCCCUGGGACUUGCUGGAGUGUGCUGGAGCUCAGAGGAAGAUUCCUCCAUAUUCUUCUUCUCUCUCUCUAAGAUUUUUCUCUCUCUCUACAAAGAAGUCGCCGUUUUGCACCGUUGUCGUCGCCGAGCUUGCUCUUCUCUGUUGGGGAGUGUCGCUGAGCCUUGGUGGACGUGUGAGGGAGUGUUUUGGAGAGCUUUUCGCAGCCCUGGACCAGUAACUCACUGGUUGCAAGCUUGAGAAGGUAAUCGGCUCACUUUUUCAAUUUUCGGCAAUCUAUUGGACGAGUUAUGUAUAGUUUCGGGAUUGUUGCUUCUAGUUGCCGAAAUCUAAGAAUUUCAGUUUCUAGCUGAAAUUCUGCAUUACACUCCUAGGUCAUAAUAAAAAUCGAAAGUAUCACCUACUAAACAACUCCGAGGUCCCCAAUUAGGCCAAUGUUGAAUUAGGAAGCCUGCGCGACAGAAGUAAUUUCCAAAACCCGCAUCAAAUGCCCGAGUUAAACUUCGUAUAUUCCUACUAGCUUCACAUAGCUAAAUAUUUUCAUUAAAGUUUUCAAAGUAGCUUACCCUGUCUAAGCGUUAAUCUCAGCUAAUUAAUCCAACUUUAAUUGCUGAAAUUCACAACAUUCAGNNNNNNNNNNNNNNNNNNNNNNNNNNNNNNNNNNNNNNNNNNNNNNNNNNNNNNNNNNNNNNNNNNNNNNNNNNNNNNNNNNNNNNNNNNNNNNNNNNNNNNNNNNNNNNNNNNNNNNNNNNNNNNNNNNNNNNNNNNNNNNNNNNNNNNNNNNNNNNNNNNNNNNNNNNNNNNNNNNNNNNNNNNNNNNNNNNNNNNNNNNNNNNNNNNNNNNNNNNNNNNNNNNNNNNNNNNNNNNNNNNNNNNNNNNNNNNNNNNNNNNNNNNNNNNNNNNNNNNNNNNNNNNNNNNNNNNNNNNNNNNNNNNNNNNNNNNNNNNNNNNNNNNNNNNNNNNNNNNNNNNNNNNNNNNNNNNNNNNNNNNNNNNNNNNNNNNNNNNNNNNNNNNNNNNNNNNNNNNNNUACCAUAGAUGUCAGUGAACUAUAAAUGUAGGAAAGCAAAGGUAAGUAAAAAUUUAACUUACUACAAAUGAUAUCUCUACUUACGCAUAAAAUACAUGAGUAUGGAAACAAACUAUUAGCCAUGAAGAAAAGUCUCCAACUAUCAUGCAUGAUGUUCACAAUGUGAAAUAGUAAAGUCCGUUGUCUACUAUUCUAGUUCAAAGUCCAGUAAUACUCUAAGUCCGUAUCUGUCCACAUGUCAUGAUGAAAAUGCUUCAAGUAAAUCUGAAGAGACCCACCCAAGGCUGUCUAUGGCCCUGGACCACCGAAGGCGUCUGCGCCGGGUGCCAGAUCUAAUGGCCCCGUGGGUAGUCAACCAUCCCACCCUAGAAAUGAGCUGGCCCUACCUGGCCAAUCCAUUCGGCGCCCAAUCCGCAGCGCGAAUUAUGAAUCGCGAAUGGCCAUUCUCGGAGUAGUGCGGCUUGUUUUAUUAGGGACGCGACCCUCACAAGAUCGUGCGAAUUGAGCACAAUGGCAAGUAAUCAAACUGAUCAGUGCAUGUACAAAUCCUCUGUUCAGACAUGGUGUUAUAGCAAAUGUCCUCGUGCAAGUCACUAUUUCAUCAUAUCUCAAUAUGGGAAUAUAGUUGUUGUCAAUUGUGCCAUUAUCAAGUAUCUAUGUUGCAGUUUAAUAAUUUCUAGGGCCAAGUGCCUCUUUAUGACCUAUGCGCCUCAUUUUGUUCCCCAACAUGGAUCCUAACAAGUCAAGACUUAUAAUUUCUAAUCAAAAUCGCAAGCAUUGAAACUUAUUUCCUUUCAUCUAUAGAAUAUUGUGCGAUGAUUAUUAACAAGCACAUAUUGUCUCUCUACUAAUAAGUAACUUUCUUAAUUGCAUAACAUAUGAGUUCCAAGCAUUCAAAAUUCGUCAUAAUGCUACAAAAUGAAUAUGCAUGAUUUGAAGAAAUGAAAGCAUUUAACCACUUAGGAGGAAUUUUCCUCAAUUACAGGAAGCCAAACCACCAGUCGUCAACGAAGGCUCUCGUUUGUCACGACGAAGGCGUCCACCACACUCCUAGUACACCUAAAGUUACGAGAACAAGUAGUCAUCUAGUCGAAACGUAAGCGACGCUAGUUUCAAUCAUUGAAGCAUUAUAGGGCUAGGGCGGUUUGAACGAAAAGCUCACCAGAUUUGCGAAAGAAGCUUCACAAUCUCAAAUGGGGCUAAGAGUCCUUCCAAUCGUAACCUUAAACAAAGGUUCUAAACCAUUAAUUUGGUACAUAUCUCUCCUUGUAGCUUUGGGCCUUGUGGUGCAUUCACUGAAGUCAGUAAUUGCCCACUGGGAACUAUUCUUAAUAGUUCUCACGCCCCUGUUUCUAUGUUUCCUUUUCAGAGCCUUCGGCACCGGCGGAGGCACGGGAUCGCGGCAAGGGUGUCGCGUAGCUAGCUCGCGGAGAGUUCUUUUGCCUAGGUGGUUUACUCCUCCAUUUUAUAUUUUGAGAGAGUGUGAGGCUUUUGUACCCUGUAUAGAGAGACCACCGUGUACUCCUUUUAGCACUUGUUAUGGGAUCCCUAUUGUACUUACUUUAUGUUUUAUUUAGUGGAUUUACAGUUUUAACUUUAUCCCUUGUUGUAGCAUUUAGACAUUUAUUAAGCUCUGAUACUCCUAGAUGUCUUCUAUUAAUGCUUUUAUUAUUGUUGUUUUUAGACGCCUUAUAUGUUGUAGACAUAUGGCGGGUCUGGGCACGCGCCGGGCAGGCUUCCGCUGGGUCCCGGGGCGUGACAUGGUUGUACCGGUAUAAGGUUGAUGGUUAUAUCGGUACAGCCACUGGGCUUGUACCGGUACAGAGCCGCUGAGCCCCCCGAACUCGAACCUCGGGUUGAGAUUUUUCGUGGGGCUUGUACCAGUAUAAGGGCCCGUGUACCGGUACAAGGGGGCAUUUUUCGUGCAGUCUGGACUGCAGGGGUGUUUUUGCUUUUGUAGCUCUUCUAUUAGAGCCCCUACGCCCCCUAGGGCUCCUCCUGAGCUUGGAACAACAAGAGAGAAGGUAGGAGAGCCCUCCUCUUCAUCUCUUUCAUUUCCUUGAUUUUGGUUUGGGUUUUUGGUGAUUAAACCCCCUCUUUUGCUCUCUUUUGCUUCUUUUGCUUCUUUGGAGGCUUCUUCACCAAUGGAGCUUGAACUUGAGGCUUGGUGAGGGUUGAUCCUUGAAGUUUGAGAACUUUGAGCUUGGAUUGAAGCUUUUUAGAGGUUGGUAGCCCUCUCUCUCCAUUUAGACUUUGGAUUUGAGGUUUUCUUUGAGUUGAAACCCUAGAUUGUAAACUUAGGGUUAUUUUUCGGCGUUUUUGAUUUAGGGCUUUUGAGGCUCAAUCUCUUAGAUUAGAACCUUCCUCUAGGUUGGUUUGGGAGGGUUUUAGCUCUUAUUUGGGGCUUGAGAAGAGAUUGUUGCUCUUGAGGUGAGUUGGCCCCUUUUUGCUAGAUGGUUAAUGAUUGAGCUAUAGGCUCUUCGUUUCGUUUGGGUAACCCUACUUUUGAUGCUUCUAGGGUACUAGGAAGCUCGUGGACAACUUCGUUCGGCAUAAUGAAGAAGUGGAUUUUGGUGGGUUUGACUUCGUGGAAACGGGGCAAAAUGGCCCUAUACUCUCUAUACUUGUUAUAAAGUAUUUUUAAAUGCAUUUCUAUGCUAAAUGAAAUUUAUGUGAAUUUUAGAACACUUAAAAUGCACGCCUUAUGUGUAAAUUAAAUUUCGCUCUAUAUAGUAGAGCAAUCAGGGUUAUCUUCAUGCAUGUGAGGAGUGUUCGUGUAGACGAAUGGGAUUCUCGUUGAGUAUACUAAAUUAGCUCACAUUUGUAUAAUUGGAAACAUUAUACUAAACUUUGACUUGGUAGCAUAAAGUGUCAUCAAGGGGCCCUUGGGAACUAAUAAACUAUGAAACUGCAACAUAGAGACAUAAUGUUAGGCCAUCGUACAUCUGCUAUAUAUUUCAUGUUAGAGACAUGAUGACAUAAAGAUAGGCCAUUGGGACAAUCGAUACAUUCCAUGUUUUAGACAUGAGGACUUAGUACUUGUGACAGGACAUAUGACUACUUGCCAUUGUGCUCAUUCGCACAUACUUGUGAGGGUCGCUCCCUACAAGCCGGCACUCCGGAGAUAGCCAUCGCGAUUCGUAUUCGCCGUGCGGGAUUGGGCGCCGAAGUGGAUUGCCGUGGGCCAGGCUCAUUCCUAGGGUGGGGAUGAUGACUACCACGGGGCCAUUAGGCUCGGCAUCGGCCAGACAGCCUACGGGUGGGUCUCAGGGCCAUAGACAGCCUUCGGGUGGGUCUCUCCAGAAUUGACUUUGAGUAUUCACUACGACAUGUGGACAGAUGAUGACUUAGUAUAUUGACUAGAAUAGUAAACAAUGACAUCUUUACUAUUUGCUUGAGGACAUCGUAUUGGUUGCAUACUUAUGCUUAUUUAUGUCAUACACAUCCAUGUACAUUCAUGUUAUAGUCGCUUUAUUACUUAUGCAAAUCACGCUAAGAAGAGACAUUAUGCUAUAGUGAGUUACAUUUUACUUACCUUUUACUUUACUACAUUUUUGUCACUGACCUCCUCUUUGUAGCUUUUGGGCCUUGUGGCGCAGUUCACUGAAGUCAGUAAUUGCCCACUGGGAACUAUUUUUAAUAGUUCUCACGCCCUCUUUUUCGUGGUUUCUUUCAGAGCCUUCGGCACCGGCGAAGGCAUAGGAUCGUGGCAAGGGGAUCGCAUAGCUAGCUAGCGAGCAGCGGUUUUUUGCUUAGGUGAUUUACUCUUUCUUUUUGUAGUUUAGAGAGUGAGAGAUUUUGUACCCAUGUAUAGAGACCACCUAUGUAUUUACUUUCAACACUUGUUUUUGGGAUUCCUUUGUACUACUUUAUGUUUUUACUAGUGGAUUUCAGCUUUAUGUUCCUUUCUCUAUUGUAGGACUUAGUCUUAUAGCAUGCUCUGAUACUCCUAGAUAUCUUUUAUU
rnacentral:lncRNA from 1 species